rnacentral:lncRNA from 1 species
UCUCCUUCAUGCAACGCGUUGCCGCACGAACGAGUGACGGCAGCCCACCUCUGUAGACUGAUCUGAGCCAAAUCUGCGGCGGUAAAUGCAUUGCAAAUUGCCAGGAGGUUCGCUGAAUGCGUCACUACUUGGCAGCAUGCGCGGCUUGGUUCGAAUGGCCAGUGCGCACCUUUUCUAAUAUUGAACUUACAGUGUUCCAUCACCUCAUCUUUUUCAAUGGCAGCUUGAGACUUACUUGCCCAUGUAUGGUUUGGGAAAAAAGAGACCGUCACAAAAACUACGAGGUAGAACAUGGCAACCGCUCUAGCACUAGCCAUAUCAAUCAACUUUGAAAGAUGCAGACCAAUACUUAUGCAGGCAGGUGACUCGGUAUAUGUAUGUUUUUGAUCGAUGUGUGAUUGUGUAUCACCUAGGCUCUCUAUUUAUAUAGGCAGUGUGCUAUGGGAAAUGCCACUUAUCUUCAUGCUUAAGUUAUGCAUGGGUGAUAUCUUGCUAGAAAAUUUAUUGGUUGCAUUUGAUUCAUUUAGUAGGUUCUACUCCCUCCGUCCAGCUUGAUUGGACCCAUAAGCCAACUAGCGGAGUCCCUAUUGGUAAGGCCCGGACAUUUAAAGCACUAAGUUUCUGCCCUUAAUUCUUGAGUUUUUCACUUUGUUGAUUCCAAUGAAACGCAUGCAACCACUUAAAUCGCUGCACUUAAUUAGGCCUGGCGAGUAUGCAGCCAAUUACAUGCAAGCGCACGCAUGCAGUCACUUAAAUCACUGCAACCAAUGCCUCUAAAUUACUACGCAUGCGGUUAAUUGUGCCUAGAAGAGUGUAUGACUUGGUCUUCGUAUUUUGGCUCUAGGGCCCAAUAAACCCAGACGGAGGGAUUAAUUAUAAAAUAGGAUAUGUAUUAGUAUCUCGAUGUGUUGUCAUUAAUUUAGACACAGCUAAUGCAUGUACUCCCUCCUUUCCGGUUUAAUUAUAGGGCUUAAAUUUGAAAUCUCAUCAACCAAGGCAGAUAAUGAGUGGAGAAAUGUAUCUCAUAGUUUACAAAAAUAACCAACUUUAAUCUACAUUAAUCACAAUACAUGCAUGGAUGACCACUACUCCCUUCGGCCGGGUUUAUUGGGCCCAUGAGCCAACUAGCGGAGUCCCUGUUUGUAAGGCACGGACAAUUAAAGCACUAAGUUUUUCCCAUUCGUUCUUGAGUUGUUCACUGUAUUGAUUCCAAUGAAAUGCAUGCAACCACUUAAAUCUCUGCACUUAAUUAGGCCCGGCGAGUAUGCAGUCAAUUACAUGCAAGCGCACGCAUGCAGCCACUUAAAUCACUGCAACCAAUGCCUCUAAAUUACUGUGCAUGAUGUUAAUUGUGCCUAGAAGAGUGUAUGACUUGGUCUCCGUGUUUUGGCUCUCAGACCCAAUAAACCUGGACGGAGGGAGUAAAUGAGUAGGAAUAGUCACAUGCAUUUGUUGGUUUCUUUUCAUCCUUGCAUGCAUCAAUUUAAUGUACCUUGGAACGUGAACAUGCGGUGGAAAGAAGUGAAAAUAAGACUUAUAAUAUGAUAAACCAAGAAAAUGAUAUGAGAGAAAACAGUCGGCGCCAGCACCAGUCUCAUGAACAACUUGUUUCUUGACGACUUCGCCUCUAAUGGCGACAGACAUGGCGACCGACGUGCGAUGGCGAGUCUCCUACACCGCCGACUUUGUGACGGGCAAGCUCGCCUUCUCCGAUGUGGUUCUUCUCCUUCGACGAGAGGCUCUCCGUCUGGUGCUGGUGGAUGUGCGCGGCGUCACGAUUGAUGUGUGUUUCCCGCGGCCUGAUGAGUCCGUUGAAAUCAGAGACAUCGUGUCCUUCCCUUGCCAUUUUGCGAGAAUUCGAGGUCGACUACCACCGACGAGACUGGUGCCAGCGCCGACGAGUGCACCGACCGACAAGGAUACGGUACACGGGCGGUGCACGGGGAGACAUGCGGGUGGACCAACGCGGGCUGGUGCGGGCCCGAGCUCCCCCACCUACCCAUCCAUGGCGGAUGUGUUGGGGAACGUAGUAAUUUCAAAAAAAUUCCUACGCACAAGCAAGAUCAUGGUGAUGCAUAGCAACGAGAGGGGAGAGUGUCGUCCACGUACCCUUGUAGACCGAAAGAGGAAGUUUUAGAACAAUGCGUUUGAUGUAGUCGUACGUCUUCACGGCCCGACCGAUCAAGCACCGAAACUACGGCACCUCUGAGUUCUAGCACACGUUCAGCUCGAUGACGCCCCUCGAACUCCGAUCCAGCCGAGUGUCGAGGGAGAGUUCCUUCAGCACGACGGCGUGGUGACGAUCUUGAUGUUCUACCGUUGUAGGGCUUCACCUAAGCACCGCUACAAUAUUAUCGAGGACUAUGGUGGUGGGGGGCACCGCACAUGGCUAAGAGAUCAAGAGAUCAAUUGUUGUGUCUAGCUAGAGGUGCCCCCCUGCCCCUGUAUAUAUAGGAGCAAGGGGGGAGGGGCGGCCGGCAAGGGAGGGGGUGCGCCAAGGGGAGUCCUACUCCCACCGGGAGUAGGACUCCCUCCUUCCUUGUUGGACUUGGGGAAGGGGGAAAGAGGAGGGAGAGAGAGGAAGGAAAGGGGGGGGUGCCGCCCCCCUCUCCUUGUCUUAUUCGGACUAGGGGGGUGGGGCGCGCGGCCCUACCCUGGCCUCCUCUCCUCUUCUCCACUAAGGCCCACUAUGGCCCAUUAAGUACCUGCGGGGUUCCGGUAACCUCCCGGUACUCCGGUAAAAUCCCGAUUUCACCCGGAACACUUCCGAUAUCCAAAUAUAGGCUUCGAAUAUAUCAAUCUUCAUGUCUAGACCAUUUCGACAAUUCUCGUCAUGUCCGUAAUCACAUCCGGAACUCCGAACAACCUUUGGUACAUCAAAACUCAUAAACUCAUAAUAUAACUGUCAUCAAAACCUUAAGCGUGCAGACCCUAUGGGUUCGAGAACUAUGUAGGCAUGACCGAGACACGUUUCCAGUCAAUAACCAAUAGCGGAACCUGGAUGCUCAUAUUGGCUCCUACAUAUUCUACGAAGAUCUUUAUUGGUCAAACCGCAUAACAACAUACGUUGUUCCCUUUGUCAUCGGUAUGUUACUUGCCUGAGAUUCGAUCGUCGGUAUCUCAAUACCUAGUUCAAUCUCGUUACCGACAAGUCUCUUUACUCCUUAUGUAAUGCAUAAUUCCGUAACUAACUCAUUAGUUACAUUGCUUGCAAGGCUUAUAGUGAUGUGCAUUACCGAGAGGGCCCAGAGAUACCUCUCCGACAAUCGGAGUGACGAAACCUAAUCUCUAAGUAUGCCAACUCAACAUGUACCUUUGGAGACACUUGUAGAGCUCCUUUAUAAUCACCCAGUUACGUUGUGACCUUUGUUAGCACAGAAAGUGUUCCUCCGGUAAACGGGAGUUGCAUAAUCUCAUAGUUGUAGGAACAUGUAUAAGUCAUGAAGAAAGCAAUAGCAAUAUACUAAACGAUCAAGUGCUAAGCUAACGGAAUGGGUCAUGUCAAUCACAUCAUUCUACUAAUGAUGUGAUCCCGUUAAUCAAAUGACAACUCAUGUCUAUCGUUAGGAAACAUAACCAUCUUUGAUUAAUGAGCUAGUCAAGUAGAGGCAUACUAGUGACAUUAAGUUUGUCUAUGUAUUCACACAUGUAUUAUGUUUCCGGUUAAUACAAUUCUAGCAUGAAGAAUAAACAUUUAUCAUGAUAUAAGGAAAUAAAUAAUAACUUUAUUAUUGCCUCUAGGGCAUAUUUCCUUCAGGAUGUGCGCCACGUGGGGGUACAUCCAAUCCUCCAUUCCCAGCCGCGGGUUCGCGGUCAGGAUAUAAAAUCCAAGCCGAGCCUAGUCCUUGACCUAGAAACAGCCUUCUCCCACUUCUAGAUGGCUGAGAGAAACCCUAGAUCGAGUUUUCCGAUCUCCUACGGGUGGUGGAAGGGCAAGGUGAGAGGAGAUCCGCGUUCGUUCGCUGCGGUUGCGGCUUCCCCCCACUCCCUCCCAUGGAUGCGGGGCGUGGAUUUGAUGGGGGUCGACGCGGUGGUGCGGGAGCGGGCCGUGAAGCUCAGGCCGAGGAAACGGCUGGGGAGGAGAGAGGAGCAAGUACUCCUGGAAGCGCGAUGAUGGCGGCAACCGCACCAUCUCGUCGUCGUCUAAUGCGGCUUCGGGCUCGUUCGACACUUCAAGGUGGGAGGCGGCGGCGGCGACGGCUCCGACGCGCCGUGAUCCCAAGGAGGGGGGCAUCUGUGUGGAGAAGCACCAGAUAUCAUCGAGCUCAGGGGGCAAUGGAGGAGGACAGGAUCCAUCCUCACCACCUCAUCGUCCUCAGGAGAAAAAUCCCCGCCAGGUGCCUCCUACCAAAAACUCUAAACCCUGCCCUAUUUGCAAAUCUCAUGAACAUCUGCCUGUCCGAUGCCCACAAGGUUUAUGUGAACGUUGCAAUACCUUAUGCCAUCUUUCUUCUAUCUGCACGGCUUUUCUUCCUUGGGAAUGCAUUGCCCUGAUGUUCGCCUUUCAAUCUAAAGGGCAGGGUUUCUAUUACAUUCAUGAUUCUUGUACUGCUAAUCAGCUUAAGGAGAGAUCUAAUAGUGUUGUAGUCACCAUUGUCGAGGGGGAAACUUCCACACGCCAAAUGGAAAUUGAUCUCACAAAUUAUCUGGCCACUGGAUGGUGUUGUUCUGCCCAUGCCAUUGGCCCCAGGGUUUUUGUGGUUCAUUUCCCUAACCCAAGCUGAGUUGCUCAAAUUUUCUAUGUUGGGCGGGUGACUCUCAAAACCACUGGGGUUGUGAUACAUGCUUCUCCUUGGUCAUCUGUUAUUGGGUCAAAAGGGGUUAUGGAAGACGCUUGGGUCAAAAGGGGUUACGGACGAGGAGUUAACUGAUAUGAUGGUUGACAUGGAGUUUGGAGAACUGAUGAAAGACUGGAUAGAAGAUUGGUCAGAUGAUGAAAAUUCAGAUCUUGGAGAUCAGUCAGACAAUGGGAACGAAUGGGAAGAUUUUAAUGUGAGUGGCAUUAUCAUGUUGUAAUUUUUUGGUGCCAUCCGACAACAUUAUAUUUUUGUGUUGAAAUUUUAUAGAUUGAUGAGCAUGAUGAUGGUCAGGGAAACAAUUCGGAGCUCUCGAAUGAAGAUUACAUUAGUCAGGUACGUAAGUGAAAAAUUUUGUUGGCAUGCAAAUUGAAUUCAUUCUGAUAUAUAAUAUGAUAAGUAAUUAUGUAUUUGUGUUGUAUUUUUCAGUUCAUUUCCGAAUGUCAUCAUGCCUAUGACUAUUACGGUGAAUCCGACACGGAGACAGGCCUUAACGAUAAAUCAUUACACGCACCUGAUUUUGGGGAUGGGCAGUCGUCGGUCAUCAUGAGUGAUGUAUUUGUGUAAUCAAUGUUCUAUCGAAGUAAUGUUAAACCAUAGAAAGCUGUUUUCAUGCAUAUGUUUUGAUUGUGUAGGUGACAGAAGUUGAUGGGGCAAAGAAUGUCCAAGAUACUGCCAGUGCAGAUGAUAAGAGGGAUAAGUUCAGGCAGAUAAUGGAAAUGACUUUUAUGUCUCACGAUGCUGCGUAUGAUUUCUACAACAACUAUGCUAGAGUUACUGGUUUCAGCAUUAGAAAGAAUAAGGUCAAGUAUAGCAAAACCGAGUCACAUCAUAUGCGUUAUAGGCGGUUUGUUUGCUCCAGACAAGGGAAAUGUGAAAGCAAGUUGCUAACAGAGGAAGGACAUAGCCGUAGGCUCAGACCCGAGACACGCUGCUUUUGUGAAGCACACCUGACCGUCAAGCUUGACCAAAAGUGUGGGGUUUGGUAUGUUGAAAGUUUUGAGGACAAGCAUAGCCAUAUGUUGGUAGGACCGGACGAGGUACCUUUUAUUUGGUCCCACAGAAAAAUCAAAGAGUACCAGAAGCAUGAGAUAAUGUCCAUGGGAGCUGCAGGGAUUAGAAUUCAUGACAUGAUGGAUUCCUUCAUUAGCAAACAUGUAUGGUAUGGCGGUGUUGGUUUUACCAGCCGUGAAAUAUACAACCUUUGCGCCAAGGAGAAGAGGAAGCUGCUUUCAAAAGGUGAUGCUGCCACAGCCAUAGGCAUCAUGACUAGUAGGAAACAGAGGGAUCCUAGCUUCUUUUUCGAGUACAAGCUAGAUAAGGAAGGACACUUGAAUAGGAUGUUCUGGUGUGACUCCCAGUCUCGUCAUGAUUACGAGGACUUCGGGGACAUGCUUGUAUUUGACAGCACGUACAAGAUGAACCGCUAUGGUAUGCCAUACAUACCUUUUGUUGGUCUUAACAAUCACCGGAAGACCACUGUUUUUGGUUGUGCCAUAGUUUCGGACGAGACCGAACAGACAUACGUGUGGCUGUUGCAGGCUUUUUUGAGGUGCAUGUGUCAAAAGAUGCCGAAGAGUGUAAUCACGGACGCCGACGCUGCAAUGAUCAAGGCUAUUCGCGAAGUCUUGCCAGACGUGUGGCACCGUAUAUGCAUGUGGCAUAUAGAAAAAAAUAUGAAGACUCACCUCAGUCACAAGUCCUUGAAGGAGUUCCGAACUCUUCUGUACUACAACACAUCCACGGCCACAUUUGAGGAGAGAUGGCACGCAUUUUCCAAAAAAUGACAGUCGGAAAAAGUUGUAACAUGGUUGAGACGGAUGUAUAAGAAGAGGAGACUAUGGGCCGCGGCAUAUCUGACAGAGGGGUUUUGGCUUGGCAUGAAAAGCAACCAGCGGAGUGAAAGCCUGAACUCAUGCCUUCACCUCCACCUAGACGGUGAAAUGACCUUAGUGGAUAUGAUUUUGCAUUAUGAGAACGCUGUUGUACGUAUCCGUGAAAACGAGGCGCGAGAUGACUGCACGGCCUCACAGAGUUUACCGGUGCCAGUUACUAGCUCGAGGGAACUUGAGAUAGCAGCUUCUCACAUCUUCACUCCAGCAAAUUUCUAUAUGUUGCAACAAGAUCUUAGAAAAAUUGACGGCAUGGAGAUUGUAGAAAUUAAGCUGGGAGACGGAUCACAACAGUAUAUUGUGGCCUAGAAGAAUAACCGAAAGAGUCGUUUUUGGGUGGAGUAUACAGCAAUAAAUUCCGCAGAACCUAUACGGCGCAGCUGCAGAAGAAUGAUUCGAAAGGUCUACCUUGCAAGCACAUAUUCCAUGUACUGAAGUACUUGAACAUAUCUGAAAUACCAAAGUGUUUAGUUCUUGUUCGGUUCAUGAAACAAGCAAGGUUGGGACUGCCCGCGAGGCGCACAAGUGAUCUGUUGGGAUUUGGUUGGACUGGGGCAGGGGAAAGAAUGAAAUAUAGCCAGGUCAGCGUGUUAUGCGACAUGCAAACACCCAGCUUUGUGGGAUCAGUUACAGGAUAGUUUGAAGGCUGUGAUAGCUAAGAGUCAUGAGUAUGAUCUGCUACAGGAAAAUAUGAGCAAGAAUAGAAAUGACUUCAAUAAUGGUGGAGUUGAAUAUGUAGAUGAUGGUGAAGGCAACAUGGUUGCAGUUAAAGAUCCUACGAAAGUGUCAAGCAAAGUGCAACAAAGGUAGAUGAGAACCGCCGUGUCUCGAAAAAUGGUAGACCACUCUCUUUUGAUGAGUUGAAAACCCGGUGCGGUGCUUGCAAAUUGGUAGGACACACUAAACGUAGCAAGAAAUGCCCACUAAAUCAGAAGUAAGUGUUUGUAUGUUUUCUGGAUUAUUAAAAAGUUUCUCAUUCAUUAACUUAUCUUGUCUUUUAUCAUGUGCAGAAAAGUGGAGAAGGAAGAAGAGUAGAACACUUGCUUCAUUUUUUUUACGGAUGAAUCGACUGAACAGGACAGUAUAUCCUUUUCAUAUUAUGGCAUCAAAUUUAGUUCGACGUUUACCAUUGAGUGUUUGGUUCCUAUAUAUUGUAGCAACUCGAUUGACACUUUAUUUAGUGUGAGUAACCUUGGGAAUAGUUUGGACUGAAACCUUAGUUUCAGUUUGGUUUCCCUAUUGGAUUGUGUUUGGUUGGUUUAAAUGGGCCGAGAGUCUAAAAUAAACUGGUGUAGUUUCGAUUCGGUCAACUACUGGAUUGGACUGGUUUGGUAUGGACACAGACGAUUUGGUCCCAAACCGUUUCAAUCUGUGGACAGAAUUUUGGAUUCGAUUGGUUUGGAUGGAAGAGGUAGAGUUGUAUGGUUUGGGACCACUUCAGUUUGGUUUUGAAACUAUUACCAGGUUUAAGUGCGAGUGUCAACCUUUUACAUCUCUCAAUAAGCAACAAAAUCCGACCUAAAUAAAUUAUUUAUACAUGCUUGAGAAUAAUAUAUUGCAAUGCCACUGUGUUUUUUUUGUCAAUGGGCAGCUGCAUUACAUUCAUUCAGGAAAUGUUUCAGUACAAAUGAUGGUCCUGAUUACAUCAGGUACAACAUUAAACCAGCAGGACCCAGGGUUGUGUUCUGCAGAUCUAGCAAGAACAUGAGCUGCCACAUUACAUGAUCGGUUGACAUGAGUAAACAUACAAGAUUUAAACUUAAGAGCCCUACUUUUGAUGUCAUAUAUUAUGGCACCUAUUUGAGAUCUAUUAGUUGUCACAUUCUUCACCUUAUUUACUACAGUAGAACAAUCAGAUGCCAUAGUAUUUUCUCGCAAAAAAAUAUAAAAAAAUCAAAUGCCAUAAUAAUGGAUUGGAAGCCAGUGACCGGAGCGGGAGGUAGAAAGAAUAUUUCCCCUCCCCACCACGUCCUAACUGCCAUUAAAUAAGUAACUUACCACUCCCCACCACACAUUCACCCACCUAAAUCGCGCGCCGGUUCGAACUCCCCUUAUCCCCACCUACAGUACAUCGAGAAAACCCUCGCCGGCGAUCGCUGCAGCCACCUCCAUGAAGAAAAGCCUCAGCUGGCAGAGAGCGAUGAUGGAUCUCGCCGGCGAUGACGAGGGGUGGCGCGUCCAGUUGGCGGAGGUGUGCGGCUGGUUUCCCAGCACGAAGAUGUUGGUCAACCACGCGCAUGGCCUCGUCAAAGUCCUCACUGACGCCGAGAAGAAGCACGCCUUCCCCUAUGGCUGCGGCGAACCGCCGACUCUCCUCCUCGUCUAGGAAAUGCGAGAGGACACAUUGAGCGACUCCCUUGUUCAGCACGCAAGGUGGUGGAUGUACCGCUCCACCACCAUGACGCUGCAGCCAGAUCCAGCACGCGUCACGUCGAGGGCGGAGCACGUCGACGUCGAGCUCGCUCUCCCUGCGCUCGUGAACCCAGACUACCAGGUCCGCCACGUGCCGAAGCCAGUCCUGCCGUCGGGCUCUGACAUCAUGGAGGACGACGUGGACAAGGUACUGCUCAUCCCUGAUGACCCUGAGGAGGGCGAGGAGGAUGCCAUGCACAUGGUAGCGCCGGUCACCGUCGAGGGUGGCAACAUAAUGCCCAUCGACGUCGAGCUCCUUCCCCUCCACCCUGACAUAGUGAAGGUGGAAGAAGAGGAGGUGGCCCAGGAUCCAGUGGCGCAGCUGUCGAACAGGACGACGGUCAAGAAGAAGGCUUCUCCGUGUGUGGUGCGCCUCUCACGCCGCCUCAAAUUUCUGAAGAAGUGAAGAUGGGCACAAUUGCUGAAGGAGGAGGAAGCUGUUGGUUAUCUUAGGUAUGCUGUUAUAUGUUUCAGCAUAUAAGUUUGUUGUUCUCCUAGUUGCUGCUGGGCUCCUUCAACUCCAUGGUUGCUUUUGUUGUAAUAAUGAUCGAUGUAGGGUGGAUUGUGUCAUCGCUUGUGAACGUGUUUGGGUCAUUGCACGGUUUGGCUGGCCUGUGUUGGCCUUCUGGGAUGUUGCGAUGUCAUGCUGGUAGCGUUUUAGUCCUUCUCUUUUUAGACUGAACUUGGUUGUGAACUUUGGUGUUGUUCAGUACUGAAAAUGGGAAGGGCCUAGCCCUUCUUUGAUCAUAAAAAACAUUGGGCUUGAUGUUGGUUAGGUGUGCUUUUCUCCAGGUAAUUAUAUAAGUUAUGCAAUCGAUACGGUUUGAUCGGGUUCUUUGUGGCUAAAGAACUGAAUAUCUACUACUUACCCUAAGUGUGAAGUUCAGUUAAAUUUCAAAAUAUUGAAUAUGUACUGUUGUUUUCCUUCAGUGUUGAAUCAAAGGUGUAGGUGCUGCUAGAUGUUGCUCCUAUGUUGCAACAAGACAAUGAAGUGGGCUGCUGCACAAAUCAGUAGUGUUGCUAUGUGAUGUGCCCAUGUGCAUCACUUACCAAAUAUAGAACAUGACAGAAGUGCAGUGUCUGCCAAAUGUAGAACAUGCCAAAAGUGCAUUGUGUACCAAUCAUGAUGGCCCCAUGUUAUUUCUGCUGCAAUGUCUAUUACACUUUGCCCAUAAACUGAAUAGCAAAUAAUUCAUCAGGAUUCAAUCAUGUCAACUACAAUGAUGUCAAUAACUUUAUGAACAAUCUAAUUGGUAACUAUGACAACAAUCAUAGUGGCAAGCAGGCCAAGAUACAGACACUACUAGGAAAAGGCCUACUAAUGGCGCACCGGUUUUGCCUACUAAUGGCGCACUACCGGUGCGCCAUUAGUAUUUUUUACUAAUGGCGCACCUGUGGUGCGCCAUUAGUAUCUGGUAUACUAAUGGCGCACCCGCUGGUGCGCCAUUAGAAUAGCCCACGGUGCGCCAUUAGUAUCUCGUAUACUAAUGGCGCACCACAUAGAGGUGCGCCAUUAGUAACAAUAUUUUUUCAAAAAAAAAAUCAAAUUUUUUUCAAUUUUUUUCUUAAUCUCAGUUCACUAUGGCUUAAUCUCGUGUCAAUAUGCUUAAUCUCAGGUCAAAUCGCACUCCGUGGUCAAACUUCCCGAAAGGUCACCCAUCGUCACACUACUCCAGCCCAAACACGCUUAACUUCAGAGUUCUAUCCAAUUCCAGCAACAGCUCACUUCACAGGCACUUGUUGAUAUAUCUAACAUAUCAAUCCUAUUAUACCUUGUUGAUGUCUAGGACUUUGUUCAUGUUCAUGACUAUGAUGAAAAUUUGAAAAAUAUUUCAAACUUCCCGGUAAUAUUACGUACCAUUUUUUUCUAUUACUAGUGGCGCACCACAUCUACGGUGCGCCACUAGUAAGUUUUUGAAUUUUUUUGCCUCUAGAUCUUGAAAGCCCCGUAACUUUUUUCUGUUCGGUUUUUGGGGAUUUUUAAAAUGUUUAACGGGGUUCCCCACGUUAAAUUUGGAUGUAACUUUUCGAGUAGAUGAUUUUUCAUAUAAAAAACUUUUUCAUCCGAGUUCGUAUGCAAAAGUUAUGCCCAUUUUACAAAUUUCCAAAGAGAUUUUGCAAAUAAAGUCAAAANNNNNNNNNNNNNNNNNNNNNNNNNNNNNNNNNNNNNNNNNNNNNNNNNNNNNNNNNNNNNNNNNNNNNNNNNNNNNNNNNNNNNNNNNNNNNNNNNNNNNNNNNNNNNNNNNNNNNNNNNNNNNNNNNNNNNNNNNNNNNNNNNNNNNNNNNNNNNNNNNNNNNNNNNNNNNNNNNNNNNNNNNNNNNNNNNNNNNNNNNNNNNNNNNNNNNNNNNNNNNNNNNNNNNNNNNNNNNNNNNNNNNNNNNNNNNNNNNNNNNNNNNNNNNNNNNNNNNNNGUAUGGUGCGCCAUUACUAUGUCAACAUAGUAAUGGCGCACCACUCCCACCGUGCGCCAUUAGUAGUUUUGAAAAAAAAACUAAUGGCACACCGUGGGACGUGGUGCGCCAUUAGUAUUUGCACACUAAUGGCGCACCAACACAGUGCGCCAUUGGUAUUUAGUAAUGGCGCACCACAUGUAUAGUGCGCCAUUAGUGUCCAUCCCAUCUAUAGCCCUUUUCCUAGUAGUGAGAAGACCUCCAAAUCCUAAAAUCCUAUCCCUAUAGAGCAAUAUUUCCUUGUGCAUCUUAACCAUUGCCCUCUUUUCUUUCUCAUUCCUUUUAAUUUUAGCUUCACAUUCUGUAAUCUUAGUCUCCAGUUUCUUGUUCUUCAUGGCAAGAUACUUAAUGACUAACUUUGCUUUGCUAUCCCACUCCCCAUCAACCCAUUCAACAUACUCAUAAGUGACAUCAUCCUAAAUAAAUCAUGAGCAAUUCAAGUCAAUUUAUAAUUGAACUUGUCACUGCAAGCGUUAAACACUGAAAUUUUUUGCAGCUUGACCGCAGUAGCAGUAUUAGUUUGAAGAUCAUGCUCAGUACACUAACCUCAAACACACAACCCACUAAUGUGCUGUCAAAAUCUGCAUUUAUGCACACACGACCACCCAGAGUUUCCUGAUGACCAAAUAGAUGGAGCUUGUAAGGGCCACAGGUCAUGAUUUGUGGGCGACUUCUGUGAUGUAAAGAACAAUGGUAAAGAACUUACAUUUUUGCCACCAAAGUGUAGCACUGAAGAAACCCUAGCCGUCGGUUCUCCCGGCCCUCCGCCGCCCACGAAACCCCCCUCCCCUGUUCCACUCGAUCCGCUGUCGCUGCCUCCUGUUCCACUGAAUCCGCCCCACCUGCUUCCAGGACCCAGGGUUCGACCUAACUUGCAGUCGCCACCACUCUUCUUGCCGCAGCCGCCGCCGCCCGACGCCCUGCUCGCUGUCAUGCUUUCGCCGUGGAGAUUUGCAGGCGCAAAUGGAGAGAGAGGGCAAGGGAUUUGGAAGGGAAACGAGAAAAGGGGAACCACUCGUUUCCAAAAUCAACCAUAGUCGUUGUUUCCAUGUAUUCAAAUGAUGGCCCCACUAUUCCUUUGAUAAUGCAACUAACCCAGCCAUGCAUGCACGUGUAAUUUACAACCGCACUAGAAAUUCCGGCUGGGCUCACUCAUCGUUCCAUCCCUCAAUUAAUCAUGUCCCAAAAGUAAAUUAUACGUAAAAUAAAAAAACGACGGGCUUGUGAAACAAAAUAGAAAAACAUGAUGCCUGAUAACACGCGAUAGAGCCAACGAGCUAACAUGACUAUUUUUCAUAAUCAUGUGAUGAGGGGGAAUUACCAGGAGAUUAUGCAAGAUGAUGACAUGCAGAUAGCUAAGGCAGAAGGCUAAAGUUUGAUAGAGUUUUAAAAAAGUAAAGAAUGUGAAAAUUUUAAUAUGAAACUUCGGAGAGCAGUUGAAGAGAAAAAUAGAAUGCGAAUACUAUAAAAAAUUGGAGAACGAGAAAAAUAUUAAGCAUGAACAAUUGAUAGUUGAAGCCAAAACUUUAUUGCUACGACCAAAUUGUCUUCUCCGAGUGAAUUGUAUGACCGAAUUGUCUGGUACGAGCCUAUUGUUUGACAGACACAUACACAUGUAUGUGUCACAAUAUUCGAGAUGCCCUGUUUAUUACAUAAAAAUGAUAGAAACCGUAAGAUAAUCAUGCCAUCGAAACCUUCGACCGGACUAAAUCCAAAGCACUAAAACUUGACUGCUGCAUGCCGCAUGAAUUCUUCAGGCGUGCCUUUUCCUUGCGAUUUCAUGAAUUUUGUUCUUCACACACUCCAUCGUGUUCGAAGGUGACAUAAUCAACUCGGCGACGAAACGUCUUCACCUUGCAUCAAAGCUGGCCUGCAAAAAAUGACAUACAGGUUACAUGAACCGAAUUUUGUACACGACCAUAGUAGCUACUCUACAAACAUAAAUAACAGCAUACCUGUGGAAAAUCGCGGGUCAUUCGGUCCCUGUCCCAAUGCUCUAGACAUUCUAUGACAAAAAGGCCACAAGAGUUCCUGGUAUAUAUGCAAACAUUAGCGGUGGGCAAUACGAACAUGUGUAUUGUUGUUUGAAUGUGCAUGAUGUCCUACUAACUCACCCAUCCUCUUGCUGCGGCAUGUCAUACUCCUUGAUAGGCCACUUACAUAUGUCCGGAUAUUUCCUUGGUGUAAUAAGAUUUGCUUGGCGCAUAUCUUUUGCUAUAGCCAUUCGCUAUAAAGAUGAUAGUGUUAAAGAAGAAUCAUAAACAACAUGUAAGACAAAUGGUACAAAUGUUGGUUAUAUUACCAGUGCUUUCACAGUCUUUUCUGUCUGGUCCAGAGGAUAGAGUGAAUCGAGAACUUGGAAUUCUUGCUUGAUCAAGUGCAUGACCACAGUCAUCUAGUGGGCAUUUUCGAUAUUCAACGCGAUAUACGUCUAAAGUGCAAAAAACCAUUAUGGAUCAAACGAAAUACUAGAUGAAAUGUCCUGAAGUGAAGAAUUACAAACAUAACGUACCUUAUCAUGCACAGUAUACUCUUUCGUGACUCUAUUAACUGCUCUAGCUUUGGACAGAGCAUUGUCCACGUUGCAGCUCGACGGCAAUGGAUCGUCUCGUGUGAUAGCACGUUCUACAAGGAAUUUGGACCUCCACGUAGGACAGAGGUAACGAUCAUGACCAACGCGCAGCUCCAAAUGUCCCAUAUAAGAAUCAAUAACCUUCAUAGAAUAUCAGGGCAUUACAUGUUGAAAGUUGAGACAUAGAUUAUUGACAAUUUAAAUAACAGAACAUGCAAGUAGUACUUACAUCGUCCGACAGCCAUCUAUGAGUUAGUACCGGUCGAAUCCUUUCGGAUGUCAGAGAUAUGCCACGCCCUUCACUGUAGUAAACUUUCUUCCCCUUAUUCUUGUGGGUGCUAGAAGCUAACUCGACAAAUGAAACAGCUGCAUCAAUUAUUUCCGGCGUCAACUCAUCUGCCACACCCCUCGGCUCAUCAAUUUCAGAAAAGAGAGUUACAUGAAAUAAUAUGAACGUCAACAAUGGUGAUCAUAUGCAUUCGUAGUAUACAACAAACCAAGAAAGUUAGUUACGAUACCCCUACUAGCAGAACGGGUACCGGUGGGUUUCUGACCAUGGUUGGUACGCCUGGUGGGCUUGUCAAGUGCGUAGGAGGAUUCAAAUUUCUUGGGAACGGUCUGCUUCCGCUUACCGGACAUAACUUCCUCAUCCUUAUCGACUGUUGCACCAUUUUUUCCAUUCGCCUUAGCCAUUAACUUGCUGACAGAAGAUGGACAAAUGUCUAUGUCCGAUGAAGGUUCUUGUGUAGAAUUACCAACGACCCAAGGGUUUUCGGGUGUAGCGCCACAUUCAUCAUUACACUUAAUAGGUGAAGCUUCCUUGUGUCCAUUCAUCUUUGCUGGGGUUUUCUGUUUGGCAAACAAAAUGGUGUGAACAUUUCAGCCUGUAAAAAAAUGGAAGGAGAAAAUUAUAGACAGAAAUAUAUAUAUAUAUAUAUAUAUAUAUAUAUAUAUAUAUAUAUAUAUAUAUAUAUAUAUGUAGUACCUCAGGUACAGAUUUAUGGUUGGGAACCACUUCAUCAGGCUGCGUCAUGUCAAUGACAGGCUCUCUGUGUGAGUCUAUGGCAUCCUUGUACACGAAUUCCUUCUUUUCAUAUGGACCGUUCUCGAAAGAAUCCACUUCUUGAUCCACAUCAUUGUCCACGGAUGGCACGGCAGCAGCCGGCUUGUACAUGACACCUGAUUUGUUCAUCUUCUCCAACAACCUCUGCAAUAGAUAUAUAAAGUUAAUAAUGCUUGCAUGGUUUAAAACAGGGAACAAACUGUAAACUAUUAUGUUAUGGUGUCACACCUCAGCAACUUGAUCAGGGAUUUGCCUCAUCUGGGUGUGUAUGAAGUCCAUGCACCGCUUCAUUAGAAGCUCCAUCAAAUCUUCGGACAUUGGGGCUGUCGUUGACUUCUUUGCAUUUCCAUUUGCAGGUUUGGUUUUUGGCUUCAUGGUACGCACAUUAUAUGGGAUUUUGGGCUCCUGCGCCCUAUACUCUUGGGUGAUAUUAUUUUUGAUCUGCAUGCGAUAUUGAAGUACAUGUGAUGAAUUAAAAAUAAAUAUUAUUUAGUUACAAAACAUUUAAGAAAGACAGAACACAAUGACUUACCUUGACGUUACCACGGCCGCGCCCAUUGUCAUAGUCGAACCGAUCUCUCCUAGUGGCUGCAUAUUCGGUCCAGUUCCUGAUAAGAGGUUGUAUGGACAAGUUGGGAUUAUAGGUGCAAUCGCCUUCGACAAGUUGCACCUUCUCCCAGUACAAGUACUACAAAAAAAUAUAAGAAUUUAGAGUUAGUUCAAUACAUCACAGAAAAUUGCAAUGAUAUAAUAAUUGACAUUAUGCAACAUGUCUCAUUUGUGUACCUGCAACAGAGCCAGAUUGCCUUUCGGCCAUUGGCGUACGUGUUUGCCUUUCUUGACUAUGCGAAGGCAAUCGAGGAGAACAUGCAGGGUGAAGGCAUUCCAGUUAAUCUUUGAAAUACGUUUCACAUCAUGGACCAAAGUGUAGUACUGCUUUGGCACAAUCUUGCUCGACAUGGGAGCAAUAAUUGUUACUAACGGGACAAGGACUAAUUUCCAAAAAAAAUCAUCGUUGGUGGCUUUACUUUUAAUUAUGUCCUCAAUGAGAUUAUAUAUUACUAUGUUUUCUGAAGUCUUACUAAGAAAUUGUUGCGGCACCCGCUCCUUCAUGUCCUCUCCUUCUUCAAUCAGAAUGUCCGAAGCGGAGAGUCCUUGGUUCUCGAGGUUAAAGAUGCACUCAACGUCGACCGCACCGAGAGUCACCUCCCCAACCUUGUCACAUCCCUAGCUGCUGGUAGUGCUCUAGGCUAGCUUCAUGUUUGCAUCAUGUUUAAAUUUUGCCUAAAUUUGAAAUGGGGAUGUUCAAACCCUAGCAUUAAAUCAACUCAACUAGGGUGAAUUAAAAUCUUUUCAAUAAACCCAAAAGGUUCCUAAGAAAAGUUCAUGAUUUCUGGUUAAGGUGGAAACCUCUGCCAAAAAUGAUGAUUAUAUUCUUAGGUCAUUUUUGGAUUUUUGAAUUAAAUCAUAUUGUAUUUGACUUUGGGCAUUUAAAUACUAUAAAUAAUUUAAAUGCUCAAAUAAAUGUUGGAAAUUGAUAAGGGUCACUGAAAUAAUUCAGAAAGUACCCAUAAUUAUUUCCAGGAUUUUAUAAAAUGAUUUGAUAUUUUAAAACAAAUCAAAAACAAAUUGCAGAAAUAGAAAAAAAUAUAAAACAGAAUAGAAAUAAAAGAGAGGAGAGAAACAUUACCUGCAGCCCACCUGGGCCACUUACCUGCUUACCAGAGCCGGCCCAGUUCCCCCAGCCGGCCCAGCCCACCUCCUCCUCCUUUGUCCUCUUCCUCCUCUGCCAGGAGGACGAGCAGAGGCGAGGCGUGGCGCUCGCCGACGCUGCCCCGGCCACCUCCUGCUUCCCCCCCCCUAGCCACCUCCUGCUUCCUCCCCAGAGACGCCCCGGACGACGCCACGCACCUCCUGCACCGCUCCCCUCUCCCCGUGCCCCUCUUCCCCCCCUGUUCGCNNNNNNNNNNNNNNNNNNNNNNNNNNNNNNNNNNNNNNNNNNNNNNNNNNNNNNNNNNNNNNNNNNNNNNNNNNNNNNNNNNNNNNNNNNNNNNNNNNNNNNNNNNNNNNNNNNNNNNNNNNNNNNNNNNNNNNNNNNNNNNNNNNNNNNNNNNNNNNNNNNNNNNNNNNNNNNNNNNNNNNNNNNNNNNNNNNNNNNNNNNNNNNNNNNNNNNNNNNNNNNNNNNNNNNNNNNNNNNNNNNNNNNNNNNNNNNNNNNNNNNNNNNNNNNNNNNNNNNNNNNNNNNNNNNNNNNNNNNNNNNNNNNNNNNNNNNNNNNNNNNNNNNNNNNNNNNNNNNNNNNNNNNNNNNNNNNNNNNNNNNNNNNNNNNNNNNNNNNNNNNNNNNNNNNNNNNNNNNNNNNNNNNNNNNNNNNNNNNNNNNNNNNNNNNNNNNNNNNNNNNNNNNNNNNNNNNNNNNNNNNNNNNNNNNNNNNNNNNNNNNNNNNNNNNNNNNNNNNNNNNNNNNNNNNNNNNNNNNNNNNNNNNNNNNNNNNNNNNNNNNNNNNNNNNNNNNNNNNNNNNNNNNNNNNNNNNNNNNNNNNNNNNNNNNNNNNNNNNNNNNNNNNNNNNNNNNNNNNNNNNNNNNNNNNNNNNNNNNNNNNNNNNNNNNNNNNNNNNNNNNNNNNNNNNNNNNNNNNNNNNNNNNNNNNNNNNNNNNNNNNNNNNNNNNNNNNNNNNNNNNNNNNNNNNNNNNNNNNNNNNNNNNNNNNNNNNNNNNNNNNNNNNNNNNNNNNNNNNNNNNNNNNNNCCACCGAAACUCGCCGCCGUUCGAUUCGCCGCCGAUAGGACAUCCCCGAGCCCACUGACCAACCCUGCGGAACCGCUGUGAGCUCCUCUGCCGUUCGCCCCUUUUUCCCGUCGCUCCGCACGCUCCCUAGCGCUAGCGCUGCCGUGCCCGAAGCUUGCCGCCGCCGCGCCUCAUCGCCGGCGUAGCUAGAGCCACCACAGCUCGAAUCCGAGCACACCGCUGUGCUCAGAGAACUCCCAGGAGGCCGUAGCGGCCACCAGCCCUCCUCCCAUGCACCAUAGCGCCAUCUCCGCUGUUACCCGAGCUCCGGCCGCCGCCGCGAGCUCGCCUCCGGCGAACCCCGGCCACCCCCGCACCUCCCGUUGGUUCCUCUAGAUGCGCACGGGCGCGGGCUACCUCCUGGUGCCCUUGGCUCGUCGAUCCGAUGCCCCUAGCGCAAGUCCGGCGUUCCCCCGCCGUGCGGAAUGGUCGCCGCCGGCGAAACUCCGGCAGGAGCUGAUGUGGCCGGUCAUUAGGGACUAACUACCCCGCUAAUCACCCACUAGGCCACUGACAGCGGACCCCACCCCUGGUCAAACCCCAGUCAGCGCUGGGUUUGACCGGGAUUAGCUCCUGUGUCACUGAUGUGUGGCCCCCACACGUCAGGUUUGACCUGGACCAGCCCGUUGACCCUGCUGACGUCACUGUGACGUGGGGCUGACGCAAUAAACCAUUUUCUGGAUUUUUGUUAUAAUUCAGGAAAUUCCAGAAAAUUAUAUAAACUUCUAUAAAUCAUAGAAAAUUAACCGUAACUCCAAAUUAAAUAAAUUAUAUAUGAAAAAUUAUCAGAAAAAUUCAAGGAAUCCAUCUGUACCAUUUUCAUGCAUGUUAGAACAACUUAUAGCUGCUGUUUAGCACAAAUCAAUUACAUGGCAUUUAAGUAAUCACAUAUGGAGUUUAAAUUUGAAUCUUGUAUUCAAACCAACCCCAUUUAAUCUGGUUUUAGAUGCAUUAGCCCAAAACACAUUCAUUUUGCCAUGUCAUAGCAUGCAUCAUAUUGUGCAUUGCAUUGAUCGUGCUUUUUCUGUAUUGCCGGUAUUUGUCCCCUCUCGAUAGACGUGUACCGAUGAUGCGAUCGUUGACACUGAUGAAGACUCAAGGCUAUCUUCAGAAGUGCCAGGCAAGCAAAACCCCCUUGUUCAUUCCGAUACAAACCUACUCUCUCGCUCCUGCUCUCUUUUACUGCAUUAGGACAACACCGAUUCAACUGUUACAUGCUGCGGUAGCUGAACCCCUUUAUCCUCUCCAUGACCUGUCAUUCCACAGUAAUUAGAUGAAACCCACUAGCAUGAGUAGGAGUUGUUUGAGCCCUGUUGUGCCUAAUCAUUCAUGUUUUUUUGUCAUGCCUGCUACUGCUUAGAGUUGAGUCAGGUCUGAUUCAUCGGGGAUGAAUCAGAGGCGUGUGAACAUGUCCCACUGUGUGUGAGCUAAGUGUAUGAACACGAUUUGGUAAAGGUAGCGGUGAGAGGCCAUGUAGGAGUACAUGGUGGGUUGUCUCAUUGCAGCCGUCCUCAGGAACUGAGUUCUGUGUUUGUGAUCCAUGAUUCAGCUACUACCACGCAUUGGGCCCGAAACCAAUGGACCCUCUCGGCUUCUUAAUCACCCUUGUCCUCUGUCCAGGAGUUGCAAGUAGUUUCUGGUGUUUGUAGUAUGCUGGAGGCCGUGCGCAGCGCUGACCGUAGGGGUGGGCUGUGAUGCGGUAGGCACGUGGCACGGUGUACCGGGCGCCCGUUUGGUGUCUCGGGAACCCUGUUCACAUCGUUUGGGGCUGUGAGCGAAACUCCGGCCGGAUCUCCUCAUGGAUGGAACCCGAAUAGGCGAUAAACCUGGACUAGAGACUUGAGUGUUUAGGCAGGCCGUGGCCGACACCCACGUUGGGCUUCCGCUUGAAGGUUGCCGAGUACAUGUCGUGUAAACGGCGGUAAGUGGUGAGAGCGUGUGUGAAGAAGUACACCCCUGCAGGGUUAACCUAAUCUAUUCGAAUAGCCGUGUCCGCGGAAAAGGACUUCUGGGUUUCUUAUAUCAGUUCAUAGACAAGUGAAAGUGGAUGCUCUAAAAUACGCAAGAUAAGCGUGAGUGCUAUGGAUGGCGUUCUCGUAGGGAGACGGGAGUGGAUCCAUAGUGGUGUAUUGGUUGGUGAAUAUGUGGACUCGUGUGCGCCACCUCAAAGAGUUACUUGCAGUCGUAGUUCAGGAUAGCCACCGAGUCAAAGCUGGCUUGCUGCAGUUAAACCCCACCAUCCCCUUUGUUGAUAAUGAUGCAUAUGUAGAUAGUUCUGAUGUAAGUCUUGCUGGGUACAUUUGUACUCACGUUUGCCUAUUUUAUGUUUUUGCAGAGAGACUUCGGUCUCGCUAGUAGUUCCGUGUGGACUUCGACGUUUAGCUUGAUACCUCGGCUACGAUCUUGUGCCCUCGGCAGGAUCUGGUAGAUAGUCAGGCUUCUCAGCCUUUUUCAUUUAUAGAUGUCUGUACUCAGACAUGAUAGCUUCCGCUUGUGCCUUGACUUGUAUGCUCUGAUUGUUGGGUCAUGAGACCCAUGUUUGUAAUGUCUCGCUCCUCGGAGCCUAUUGAAUAAACUACUUGAGUCGUAGAGUCAUUUUGUGAUGCCAUGUUGUAUUGCACAUAUCGAGCAUAUUGUGUGUAUGUUAUUAAAAUGCUUGGUAUGUGUGGGAUCUGACUAUCUAGUUGUUUAUCUUUAGUAGCCUCUCUUACCGGGAAAUGUCUCCUAGUGUUACCGCUGAGCCAUGGUAGCUUGCUACUGCUCUGGAACACUUAGGCUGGCCGGCAUGUGUCCUUCUUCGUUCCGGUGUCUGUCCCUUCGGGGAAAUGUCACGCUUUGAGUACCGGAGUCCUGUUAGCCCGCUACAGCCCGGUUUACCGGAGUCCUGCUAGCCCAGUGCUACAGCCCGGACCCACUUGCUGAUGACCGACACGUUCGAAGCUGGGUCAUGAAUGCCUGUCCCUGUAAGUCUGUGCCACUUUGGGUUUACGACUAGUCAUGUCAGCCCGGGCUCCUUAUCAUAUGGAUGCUAGCGACACUAUCNNNNNNNNNNUGCGUGAGGCCGCAAAGUGAUAUGAGGUGUUACCGGCUAGAUCGAUGUGACAUCGAGUCGGGGUCCUGACAGCGUUGGUAUCAGAGCUUGACUGCCUGUAGGAUUACCAAGCCAAACUGGUCGAAGUUGAGUCUAGAAAUUCUUUAGUUAUAUAAGGGAAUUGAUUGUGGGAUGGAACGUAAGGCUCUUUUUACUCCUUAUACCUCAUGGCCUUCUGAUCUGAGUCAUCAUCUUCUCUUCUACGGGGAUUAAGAACUAGGCUUUCUCUUCUUUCUAUCAGGAUCACGUGUUACUAAUCCGUAGACUUAUAAGAUUGUUGGAUUUAAGCUUGAGUUCAGUUUCUACUACUUCCGUAUGUUAAUUGUUGAUCUCGAAACCUUGAUAUCGUGCUUCUGAGUGGUUAUGCCACCAUUUUGUGAAUGUCUCAAAUCUUUUCUGAACAUUUACAGCCGUUAUGCUGUCCGAGUCAUCCCAGGUUUCUAAAUAGUUUGAAGCAAUUUGCAAAAUCCUUUCCCUCUGGUUUCGAUGUUCCUUUAUGCCAGCUCAAUCACACUAAUUGUUGAGUUGAGGUAAUUUAUUGCCCUGACAUAUAUGUUGGAGCUAUUAUUAUGACCCUAGGUGUCUUAGGGGAUCACCUAGUAAUUUAGCCAUGAUUGGUGUCCCAGUGUGAUGAUUCUGGCCUUUAUCCUCGAAAGCAUUCCGUGAUGCUACUUAGUAAUAGGUAUUCUGUUCCUGGGUUCUUGAACCCGAGAUUCACUCCACCUACUUCGUGUUGAUAGUAAUUGUUAGUGCCUUCAGGAUAUUAGUAACCUUUGCGAUAGUCCUUGAAGUCCGUGGUAUCUUCUUCUUCCAGAUACCAUGAACUACUUAUGGCAGAAGUUCCUCGUUGAACUGAAAUAUCACAACAGUAUUAUUUUUGAUGAGUUCUCCAUUAUAUAUUGUGGCUCUGCCAGUUCUACCUUUCCGCAUGGGUUAUCCGGAAGAAAUAUGUUGAACUUGGUUCGACAUACUAAUCUAUGCAUCCACAACUCAGAAAAUUAUAUGUUCCUUUGAGUUGUUCUCUUUAGUUGCAUUCUGACCUUCGUCUAUCAAUUGAUAGUCAAGAGUAUGCGUGUGUUCGUUUAUUGAUGCCUAUUACUCUUGUGGUCCGUCAAGCCAUUCUAUUCCGGAAUGACUAGGAGAAACAAACUCCAGUACCUCUUCCUUAUCUAGGAUUGGGUCAAAGAAGUUGUGCUCCGCAGAUCAAAAUGCCAAUCUAGCUUCUGGUCUGCUCUACCCUGAAGUAUUAUCUUCUUUAUGACAGGAAUUUCAUGAGAAUUGCACCACAUUUUGUGAAUUCUUGACAUAGUGAUACCUCUUGCCAUCAUUAGUCAUUCCUCGGUCUUCGUGUUGAUGCAACCGGAAUACCGACCAAUGAAUUGUGAUGUGUGAAAUCAAUACGCCUAGCAACCUCGUUGCUUGGUAGUUAAAGGAUAAUAAUUUCAUUCUUAGCAUGUUGGUUUUUGAAUCAUCCUUCUAAGACUUAUCGUGCUACCUAGUCCUUAUUUCGGUGCACCCUUCGAUUGAUGAGUUAGGAUCUUGUCAAGUCCUCACUCAUUUGAUCAUAUCGUCUUGCCCUCAAAAGCGAGAUUGUUCUCGAGCUUAGUAACAUACCGGUGGUUCGUGAUUUUCUGAAUGUCUUCUCGGAAGUAUCACCAGGUCGUCACCUGACCGUUAUGUUGAGCCCGUGAUCAAGUUGGUUUCUUGUGAACCACCUUCUCUCCAAGAAUCGGUGUUAGAUAUCCCUGAGCUAGUUGGUUAAGCUAGACAACAACUUGGAGAGUUGGAAGAUAAAAGCUUGCCUAACUUAGUUCGUUCCAAAGGGAUAUUCUUGUGUAGUGUGUGUUGAAGAAAGAUGAUAUCUUCAUCGAUUGGUCCCUGUGAUCAGUUGCUGGACCUAUUGUCUUAUCAAUCCUUGAUUUGAGUGUGGGCUAUCGUCAAAUCAAAUCAGUACCAACGAUGCUCGUAAUGUUGUCUUAUUCGUGGUUGAUCCCUCGAGCAUACACCAUUACAUCUUUGGUCUGACCAAUGCUAUCACCGUGUUCACUUAACUAUGGAAUUCCUUUUAAAAGGAAACCUAGAUGGAUUGUUGUUGAGCCCAUUGACAACAUCCUUAUCUCCUCCAUGAUUUUGUUGAACAUUAAGCUAGUGUUGGAAACUUUUGAAAGCAUUUGUUCAUGCUAGCUCAUGAAGCAUAUGUUUGGAUGAAGGUAGUGACUUCCUUUAAUUCAUGUGCAUCUGAUGCAAGUUGCCGCCGUGGAUUCGAGAAAGUCAAUGUUGCUUUCUUUGGAAUCAUUCCAAAUCAGUCAUGCACACGUGCGAAGAAUGCUGUGGUUUGAAGACUUGCAACCUUCAAUCUAUAUGUAUCCCUAGCACACCAAGCCACUGAUUGAUUUGUUCAAGGAGAAGGAGUUCCUUCAUAAGAGCUAAUCCGGACUUAUGUAAGGACUUCGAUACCCUCGUUGAUGGUUCCCCCUCCUGAACUCGGUAGUGUUUUAUUAUAAGACUACCACGUGGUCAUGCUUGUCUGGGACAACGUGUUCACAUGUUUGUAGCAGAACCAGCUCAUGUUUUGGAGCUUGCUAUCGUAGUUCAUCUCCCGAGAAUCCCGCAACGUCAUCUCGUCGAUUUGUGUUGCAAACUUUCAUUUUUCUUCCUAGACUCGAUGGGUCUGGAAUAUUCUGACACCAACCAGAUCUAAAUCUCAGGCAGAUAUGAUGGUUGGAACAUUUCCCUAAGAACUAUAAUAUCGGUCCCUCGGAAACCGGUAAAGUGGAUGUCGUGGCCAACACACCCAGCCGGAAGACCUGUUAUUAUAAUAUCUUGAUUGAGGAAGUUGGCCACCUCCCCAUAGGGAUUUCGUAGGGUUUACUCCCUAGUUGCCCCUAUGGAUUUAUGAGAUCCCGAAGUCCGACUUUUUUUUUACUUGAUGUUCUAGAUAUCAAACCAUAUCUAUGAAUGGGUUACACUAGCACAUCAAGGAGAACAUUAGAAGCGGAGUGCUAAAUGUCUCUCGGUCGAUCAUCCAGAUUUCGUCCCCCUGGCCUCGCUAAGGUGAAAUCUGAGAAGGUGUUAUCCUCCUUUGCAUCUGCAUCGUCCAUCGCUAUUCAUCAUGGUAGUAUGUUGUGUUGUCAGCACCCUUGACGCGGUUGUUGAUAAAACCUUGAUGAUUGUGGAAAUGCUCAAGUUCUUGAGAGCACGCACAAGCGCUACGUCUUAUCAUCGGCACUAGCUGGGAUUGCCCCAGAUUUCCUCGGUUAUGCUAUAACCACUCCAACAGUGAAUUCACUCUCUAUUGUUGGGUUCUUCCCCAGUUACCAGAAUCAUUCCCAGCAUUUGCAUUUUGUUCCCAGCUUGCACCGCCAAUGUGCCAUUCUACCAUGGGUCUCUUCCAUUUCCGGUGAUAAGCAAAAUCAUCCAUUACGUUGUCUUCAACAAGGUAAUCCACAUCAUCCAAGUCCAAGUAUGUCAUUCUACCGACCCCGCCAAUCGACUGCUGUGAUUUGCCUUAGGCUGAUAUAGAGAGUCUUAACGAUCUCUAUAUCAAAGGUAAUUCUUUUUGCCACUUAAGAUAAUAAUCUACGAAUCACCCCCUCCAGGAUGUUUCGUCGUGGUAUCAUGGCAACUCAACUCCUCGCUACGUUGACAAUCGUUUACCACCUUCCUAGGUGUGGAAUUGUUGUCUACCUAGUGAACCUUCGUCAUCCGUUUCUUUCCACCCCUCUUGAUGUGUAUCUCGUGUCUCAACCCGAGAGAUGGUUCUAUGUCUCAUUCCGGAAGUUAAUCCUGAGUUGUUCGAUCUUCGAGAAGACCGAUCCUUCCAGAGUUUUCCUUUCCUCUCCUUGUCANNNNNNNNNNNNNNNNNNNNNNNNNNNNNNNNNNNNNNNNNNNNNNNNNNNNNNNNNNNNNNNNNNNNNNNNNNNNNNNNNNNNNNNNNNNNNNNNNNNNNNNNNNNNNNNNNNNNNNNNNNNNNNNNNNNNNNNNNNNNNNNNNNNNNNNNNNNNNNNNNNNNNNNNNNNNNNNNNNNNNNNNNNNNNNNNNNNNNNNNNNNNNNNNNNNNNNNNNNNNNNNNNNNNNNNNNNNNNNNNNNNNNNNNNNNNNNNNNNNNNNNNNNNNNNNNNNNNNNNNNNNNNNNNNNNNNNNNNNNNNNNNNNNNNNNNNNNNNNNNNNNNNNNNNNNNNNNNNNNNNNNNNNNNNNNNNNNNNNNNNNNNNNNNNNNNNNNNNNNNNNNNNNNNNNNNNNNNNNNNNNNNNNNNNNNNNNNNNNNNNNNNNNNNNNNNNNNNNNNNNNNNNNNNNNNNNNNNNNNNNNNNNNNNNNNNNNNNNNNNNNNNNNNNNNNNNNNNNNNNNNNNNNNNNNNNNNNNNNNNNNNNNNNNNNNNNNNNNNNNNNNNNNNNNNNNNNNNNNNNNNNNNNNNNNNNNNNNNNNNNNNNNNNNNNNNNNNNNNNNNNNNNNNNNNGCCCCCCCGGAAGCCCCGCAACGCCGCCACCAUCGCCGUUCCGUCGCCGGCCACCGAAGCUCGCCGCCGUUCGAUUCGCCGCCGACAAGACAUCCCCGAGCCCACUGACCAACCCUGCGGAACCGCUGUGAGCUCCUCUGCCGUUCGCCCCUUUUUCCCGUCGCUCCGCACGCUCCCUAGCGCUAGCGCUGCCGUGCCCGAAGCUCGCCGCCGCCGCGCCUCAUCGCCGGCGUAGCUAGAGCCACCACAGCUCGAAUCCGAGCACACCGCUGUGCUCAGAGAACUCCCAGGAGGCCGUAGCGGCCACCAGCCCUCCUCCCAUGCACCAUAGCGCCAUCUCCGCUGUUGCCCGAGCUCCGGCCGCCGCCGCGAGCUCGCCUCCGGCGAACCCCGGCCACCCCCGCACCUCCCGUUGGUUCCUCUAGAUGCGCACGGGCGCGGGCUACCUCCUGGUGCCCUUGGCUCGUCGAUCCGAUGCCCCUAGCGCAAGUCCGGCGUUCCCCCGCCGUGCGGAAUGGUCGCCGCCGGCGAAACUCCGGCAGGAGCUGAUGUGGUCGGUCAUUAGGGACUAACUACCCCGCUAAUCACCCACUAGGCCACUGACAGCGGACCCCACCCCUGGUCAAACCCCAGUCAGCGCUGGGUUUGACCGGGAUUAGCUCCUGUGUCACUGACGUGUGGCCCCCACACGUCAGGUUUGACCUGGACCAGCCCGUUGACCCUGCUGACGUCACUGUGACGUGGGGCUGACGCAAUAAACCAUUUUCUGGAUUUUUGUUAUAAUUCAGGAAAUUCCAGAAAAUUAUAUAAACUUCUAUAAAUCAUAGAAAAUUAACCGUAACUCCAAAUUAAAUAAAUUAUAUAUGAAAAAUUAUCAGAAAAAUUCAAGGAAUCCAUCUGUACCAUUUUCAUGCAUGUUAGAACAACUUAUAGCUGCUGUUUAGCACAAAUCAAUUACAUGGCAUUUAAGUAAUCACAUAUGGAGUUUAAAUUUGAAUCUUGUAUUCAAACCAACCCCAUUUAAUCUGGUUUUAGAUGCAUUAGCCCAAAACACAUUCAUUUUGCCAUGUCAUAGCAUGCAUCAUAUUGUGCAUUGCAUUGAUCGUGCUUUUUCUGUAUUGCCGGUAUUUGUCCCCUCUCGAUAGACGUGUACCGAUGAUGCGAUCGUUGACACUGAUGAAGACUCAAGGCUAUCUUCAGAAGUCCCAGGCAAGCAAAACCCCCUUGUUCAUUCCGAUACAAACCUACUCUCUCGCUCCUGCUCUCUUUUACUGCAUUAGGACAACACCGAUUCAACUGUUACAUGCUGCGGUAGCUGAACCCCUUUAUCCUCUGCAUGACCUGUCAUUCCACAGUAAUUAGAUGAAACCCACUAGCAUGAGUAGGAGUUGUUUGAGCCCUGUUGUGCCUACUCAUUCAUGUUUGUUUGUCAUGCCUGCUACUGCUUAGAGUUGAGUCAGGUCUGAUUCAUCGGGGAUGAAUCAGAGGCGUGUGAACAUGUCCCACUGUGUGUGAGCUAAGUGUAUGAACACGAUUUGGUAAAGGUAGCGGUGAGAGGCCAUGUAGGAGUACAUGGUGGGUUGUCUCAUUGCAGCCGUCCUCAGGAACUGAGUUCUAUGUUUGUGAUCCAUGAUUCAGCUACUACCACGCAUUGGGCCCGAAACCAAUGGACCCUCUCGGCUUCUUAAUCACCCUUGUCCUCUGUCCAGGAGUUGCAAGUAGUUUCUGGUGUUUGUAGUAUGCUGGAGGCCGUGCGCAGCGCUGACCGUAGGGGUGGGCUGUGAUGCGGUAGGCACGUGGCACGGUGUACCGGGCGCCCGUUUGGUGUCUCGGGAACCCUGUUCACAUCGUUUGGGGCUGUGAGCGAAACUCCGGCCGGAUCUCCUCAUGGAUGGAACCCGAAUAGGCGAUAAACCUGGACUAGAGACUUGAGUGUUUAGGCAGGCCGUGGCCGACACCCACGUUGGGCUUCCACUUGAAGGUUGCCGAGUACAUGUCGUGUAAACGGCGGUAAGUGGUGAGAGCGUGUGUGAAGAAGUACACCCCUGCAGGGUUAACCUAAUCUAUUCGAAUAGCCGUGUCCGCGGAAAAGGACUUCUGGGUUGCUUAUAUCAGUUCAUAGACAAGUGAAAGUGGAUGCUCUAAAAUAUGCAAGAUAAGCGUGAGUGCUAUGGAUGGCGUUCUCGUAGGGAGACGGGAGUGGAUCCAUAGUGGUGUAUUGGUUGGUGAAUAUAUGGACUCGUGUGCGCCACCUCAAAGAGUUACUUGCAGUCGUAGUUCAGGAUAGCCACCGAGUCAAAGCUGGCUUGCUGCAGUUAAACCCCACCAUCCCCUUUGUUGAUAAUGAUACAUAUGUAGAUAGUUCUGAUGUAAGUCUUGCUGGGUACAUUUGUACUCACGUUUGCCUAUUUUAUGUUUUUGCAGAGAGACUUCGGUCUCGCUAGUAGUUCCGCGUGGACUUCGACGUUUAGCUUGAUACCUCAGCUACGAUCUUGUGCCCUCGGCAGGAUCUGGUAGAUAGUCAGGCUUCUCAGCCUUUUUCAUUUAUAGAUGUCUGUACUCAGACAUGAUAGCUUCCGCUUGUGCCUUGACUUGUAUGCUCUGAUUGUUGGGUCAUGAGACCCAUGUUUGUAAUGUCUCGCUCCUCGGAGCCUAUUGAAUAAACUACUUGAGUCGUAGAGUCAUUUUGUGAUGCCAUGUUGUAUUGCACAUAUCGAGCAUAUUGUGUGUAUGUUAUUAAAAUGCUUGGUAUGUGUGGGAUCUGACUAUCUAGUUGUUUAUCUUUAGUAGCCUCUCUUACCGGGAAAUGUCUCCUAGUGUUACCGCUGAGCCAUGGUAGCUUGCUACUGCUCUGGAACACUUAGGCUGGCCGGCAUGUGUCCUUCUUCGUUCCGGUGUCUGUCCCUUCGGGGAAAUGUCACGCUUUGAGUACCGGAGUCCUGUUAGCCCGCUACAGCCCGGUUUACCGGAGUCCUGCUAGCCCAGUGCUACAGCCCGGACCCACUUGCUGAUGACCGACACGUUCGAAGCUGGGUCAUGAAUGCCUGUCCCUGUAAGUCUGUGCCACUUUGGGUUUACGACUAGUCAUGUCAGCCCGGGCUCCUUAUCAUAUGGAUGCUAGCGACACUAUCGUAUACGUGAGCCAAAAGGCGCAAACGGUCCCGGGCAAAGGUAAGGCGACACCCGUGGGGAUACCGUGCGUGAGGCCGCAAAGUGAUAUGAGGUGUUACCGGCUAGAUCGAUGUGACAUCGAGUCGGGGUCCUGACAAACCUGCUCUUGUAUAAUGAAUCUGGACUUGCUGGCAUCAAAAUUCUUAAUCAUAUACCUAAUCAGAAGGGUACGCAUCUUAAUAGAUGGUAUCUGCAGCAUGCUGCACAAUGUUGUAUCAGCCACUCUAGCGCGUUGACCGCUCGAUAGAGCGGCAACAAGCUUGCACCAUUUUUCAAUGGCGCACACUAUUUCUCCAUUCAGGUCGUCCAUCCUAUAGAAAGAAAAUAUAAAACUUUGUGACAAUUUCCAACACUAAUGCAAAAAUAACAAUAGACAUGCAAAAAUAUAAAACUUUCUGGCAGUAGCAAAAAAAAUGCAAAAAUAACACUAAGGCAAAUAUAAAACUAGCACCAUGUAUACAGCAACAUGCACCCAAGUGUGUGCUAAUAUGAGGCAAUAAAAAAGUAACUACAAUUGUUAAUUGAAUUUACUUGCAUCUGAUCAAGUUCUUUGAGUGUCAGAUAAAUUGUUAACAGGGUGACAAAUUGAGCAGUUGUAAAUAACUACAAUAUAUAGCAAUGGUACCUAUUUGAGGUUCAUCAACAUCUAAUGCUUAUAACUCUUUAAUGUUCUGUGCCUACAAUAAUAUAAUUGGAUCGUGUGACAAAAAUAUAAGUGGAUCAUGUGACAAAAAAUCUAUUGCAUUAUGUUUCUCAAGAAACAACAUCUUAUUCUACCAUGAUAUGAAAGAUUUAGUUCAUGUACACCUUCUGGUCAAAACGCAUCUAGUCGACUUGAUACUAGCUAGUUGAAACUAUGUGGUAAACCUAAGUCCAUGAAAGCAACAAUACGGAGGAACUAGCUUGCUAUGAAGGCGUGAGGUAAGUGAUGUCUACUACACAACCUUCUUCUUGUAGACGUUGUUGGGCCUGCAAGUGCACAGGUUUGUAGGACAGUAGCAAAUUUCCCUCAACUAGAUGACCUAAGGUUUAUCAAUCCGUAGGAGGCGUAGGAUGAAGAUGGUCUCUCUCAAACAACCCUGCAACCAAAUAACAAAGAGUCUCUUGUGUCCCCAACACACCCAAUACAAAGGUAAAUUGUAUAGGUGCACUUGUUCGGCAAAGAGAUGAAGAUACAAGUGCAAAAUAGAUGGUAGAUAAAGGUAUUUGUAAUCUGAAAUAAUAAAAACAGGAAGGUAACAAGCGAUAAAAGUGAGCGUAAACAGUAUUGCAAUGAUAGAAAACAAGGCCUGGGGUUCAUACUUUCACUAGUGCAAGUUCUCUCAACAAUAAUAACAUAGAUAGAUCAUAUAACAAGCCCUCAACAUGCAACAAAGAGUCACUCCAAAGCCACUAAUAGCGGAGAACAAACAUAGAGAUUAUGGUAGGGUACGAAACCACCUCAAAGUUAUCCUUGCUGUUCUAUCUAUUCAAGAGUUCGUAGUAAAAUAACAUGAAGCUAUUCUUUCCGCUCAAUCCAUCAUAGAGUUCAUACUAAAAGAGCACCUUAAGACACAAAUCAACAAAAAACCUAAUAUCACCUAGAUACUCCAUUGUCACCUCAAGUAUCCGUGGGCAUGAUUAUACGAUAUGCGUCACACAAUCUCAGAUUCAUCCAACCAACAUAAAAGUACUUCAAAGAGUGCCCCAAAGCUACUACCGGAGAGUCAAGAACGUGUGCCAACCCCUAUGCAUAGGUUCAUGGGCGGAACCCGCAAGUUGGUCACCAAAACAUACAUCAAGUGGCACAUGAUAUCCCAUUGUCAGCACAGAUAAUCACGGCAAGACAUACAUCAAGUGUUCUCAUAAAAGACUCAAUCCGAUAAGGUAACUUCAAAGGGGAAACUCAAUUCAUCACAAGAGAGUAGAGGGGGAGAAACAUCAUAAGAUCCAACUACAAUAGUAAAGCUCGGGAUACAUCAAGAUCGUGCCAUAGAUGGAACACGAGAGAGAACACGAGAGAGAGAGAGAUCAAACACAUAGCUAGUAGUACAUACCCUUAGCCCCGAGGGUGAACUACUCCCUCCUCGUCAUGGAUAGCGCCGGGAUGAUGAAGAUGGCCUUCGGUGAUGGGAUCCCCCUCCGGCAUGGUGCCGGAACAGGGUCCUGCUUGUUUUUUGGUGGCUACAGAGGCUUGCGGCGGCGGAACACCCGAUCUAUCUUCUGUUCUGGAAGUUUUAGGGUACGUAGGUAUAUAUGAGUGCAGGGGGGACGUCGGAGGAGCUACGGGGGCCUCACGAGGCAGGGGGCGUGCCCAGGGGGGCUGGGCGUGCCCCCCACCCUCGUGGGCAGCCCGUAUCUCCCCUGACGUGCACUCCAAGUUCCUUGGGUUGCUUUCCUUCCAAAAAUAACUUCUCCAGUUGAUUUCGUUCCAUUUUGACUCCGUCUGAUAUUCCUUUUCCUCGAAAUACUGAAAUAGGCAUAAAACAACAAAUCUGGGCUGGGCCUCCGGUUAAUAGGUUAGUCCCAAAAAUAAUAUAAAAGUGGAUAAUAAAGCCCAAUAUUGCCUAAAAUAGUAGAUAAAGUAGCAUGGAGCAAUCAAAAAUUAUAGAUACGUUGGAGACGUAUCAGUAAGGAGGACAACUUACUUGAUCGGUCGACGAAGAUGAAAGAAGUCGGCGAUGCGUUGUCGACGUAGUUCGUCGAGGGUGGCCAGCAUGUGCGGACGACCUUGAUCUUCUCGGGGUUUUAGUGGCGUGUGGGAUGUGGCGGACGGAGCUGUCAAUGACUCGCCAACAGGAGGCGAUCUAGAGGAUGACAUGUGCGAGGAGGUUGAGAUUAUAUACGAGGUCGUCUCCUAGGUCGUCGUAUCUUCCCUGUGGCCAAUCUCGCGAUCUAUAUUUUCCUCCGUUUAAUCGAGGCUGAACGUGCUCCUCAGUUGUAGGGAUUAGGAACAUAUGGAUUAGCACGAUCCCAGAAUUGUGUAACAGAACGGCAACUACUCCCGUGAUCGACGUGCAUGGAAAGCGCAGCAUGGUGGGCCCCCACAUUAUGGAUGCGACCGUUAUUUGCGGUCUGGGCCGGCCCAUCUACCUCCACAUUGUGUUUUCCUCAAAAUAAAUAUCAUUGUUUCUUCCCUCAAUAAAAACUAUUUGUGACACCUAUUAGUUAUUGUAUACUUGUAUAUGUUCAACAAUAUUUAUAGUAUCUCUAUCAUUUCUGCAAUAUUAUAUAUUCAAAUGUAAUGUUCCUCUUUCCCUUUUAAUUUGGUUUUCCUGUUAUUCUAUGUUUUCUCCUUCUUAUUCCUAAUGGUUUUUUCAUGUUUCAUAAUUUCAUAUCACUUCUUCUCAUCUUUUUCAAAUUCAUUUCAAAUAUGUACGAUUAAAUGUUGUCAUAUUUAUGACUUGCUAAUUGGUGGGACCGGGAAGGUAAACCACUUUCAGACCUGCCCUCUGGCAGACCCGAAUGGUCCUGCUUGUACAUGGUGCAUGUGGAGGCAUGCAUGAGAUGACCCCAACUUUUGGGACCAUGUGGGCAAGGCCAAUGUGGUCCCCCAGGCAAGGUGUCCACAAAUUCGAACACAAAAUGCACGUUGCGUCACGUGGGGGCAUUGUUGUAGGGUUUUGUCGCCAGAAAAACCCUAGAAAAUGCAUCGAGUGUGGAAAAUGAACGAUACUUGUCAUGCAUGCAUGCCAUGAUCAUCCUUGGGUAUGCANNNNNNNNNNNNNNNNNNNNNNNNNNNNNNNNNNNNNNNNNNNNNNNNNNNNNNNNNNNNNNNNNNNNNNNNNNNNNNNNNNNNNNNNNNNNNNNNNNNNNNNNNNNNNNNNNNNNNNNNNNNNNNNNNNNNNNNNNNNNNNNNNNNNNNNNNNNNNNNNNNNNNNNNNNNNNNNNNNNNNNNNNNNNNNNNNNNNNNNNNNNNNNNNNNNNNNNNNNNNNNNNNNNNNNNNNNNNNNNNNNNNNNNNNNNNNNNNNNNNNNNNNNNNNNNNNNNNNNNNNNNNNNNNNNNNNNNNNNNNNNNNNNNNNNNNNNNNNNNNNNNNNNNNNNNNNNNNNNNNNNNNNNNNGGAAAUGAACGAUACUUGUCAUGCAUGCAUGCCAUGAUCGACCUCUGGUAUGCAUAAAGUUUGGGAUCAUUCGGUGGGCCCGGGAAGGUAAACCACUUUGACACCUGCCCUCCGGCAGACUCGAAUGGUCCUGCUUGUACAUGGUGCAUGUGGAGGCAUGCAUUAGAUGACCCCAACUUUUGGGACCAUGUGGGCAUGCCCAAUGUGGUCCGCCAGGCAAGGUGUGCACAAAUUCAGAACAAAACAUACGUUGCGUCACGUGGGGGCAGUGUUAUAGGGUUUUGUCGCUGGAAAAACCCUAGAAAAUGCAACGAGUGUCGGAAAAGAACGAUACUUGUCAUGCAAGCAUGCCAUGAUCAUCCUUGGGUAUGCAUUAAGUUUGGGAUCAUUCGGUGGAACCAGGAAGGUAAACCUGCUUCUAGUACAUGGUGCAUGUGGAGGCAUGCAUGCGAUUGUCCCAAGUACAUUUGAUUUAAUAAUAUUUCAAGAAUGAAACAGAAAAGAAAAUUUAUAAUUGUAAAAGACAACCAGGAAAAGUGAAAUAAAAGACAACAUUAUAUCAUACAUUAUUUAAAUUUAUAACCGUCAGAACAAAGAAAAGAGGAGAAUAUAGAAAACAGAAGAAAAAUUCGAAUGAUUAAGUGCAAUAAAAGACAACAUAUUAUCUUACAUUUAAAAAAUGAUUAAAAUAUAAAAAAGAUAAGAUCUAUUAGAAUGAAGAAGUGAAAUAAAAGACAACAUAUUAUCUUACAUUUUGAAAAUAUUUCAAAUAUAAAGAAGAGAACAAAUAUUAGAAUGAAGAAGUGAAAUAAAAUAGAAAAUUUUAUCUUAUGAACUAAAAAUAUUUCAAAUAUAAUAAAGAUAAUAAAUAUUAGAAUGAAGAAUUGAAAUAAAACACACCAUUUUUGUUUAUAUUUCGUAAAUAUUAUCAAUAUAAAAAAGAGAACGAACAAAUGAAAUAAAACGCAACAAAAUUUGGCAUACUUUUUUUAUAUUAGUAAACACUAUUAGAAAUAAUAUAGAAAAAAAGAGAUUUGAUUUAAAUAUUAGAAAUAUAAAUAAGAAAAUAAAUUUUGGAGUUAAUAAGUGAAAAACAAAGUAAUUUAAAAAACACAGAUCAGCGCGCAGCGGGUAAGGCUGCCCUGGGCUAGCCCGCCCGAAUUGGGCCCAAGGCAGAGACGCACAUGGCACAGCGCAGCGCACAGCCGUGGGGUGGUGGGAGUUUAGUCCCACCUCACCAAGCGAGAGAGCGCUGCACCAGUUUAUAUACCCGGCUGCGACUCCCCUCACAAGCUUCUAUCAAAUGCAGGCAGUACAUUGCCUAACUCUCGUCCCCCUCUGCCCGGUGGGGCCUAAUAGCAGCACCGAUAUUCUGCACCACGGGCCUGUAUCCUGGCCCAUGAACGGCUGGGUUCCUAGUCGUUUGCAGGCCGUGGUGUUAAGAAUUAUCCUGCUCUGGUAGGUGGGCACUUUUUUUUUGGCAUAUUGCCAUGUGUUUUUGGCAUAUUCUCCUGUUCUUCAAAUCACACACUAAAUUAUACACAUGCUCACUUGCAUUCAAUGCACAUUUUUUUUGCAUAUAUGCCAAGUUAAUGUUUCUAUGUUCAAAACACCUAGUAUUUUUGGCAUAUUGCCAUGUGUUUUUGGCAUAUUCUCCUGUUCUUCAAAUCACACAGUAAAUUAUACACAUGCUCACUUGCAUUCAAUGCACAUUUUUUUUCAUAUAUGUCAAGUUAAUGUUUCUACCUUCAAAAACCUAGUAAAUUUUACACAUGCUCAUUUGCACACAUGGCUAUUAAUGGGAUUUUUUUUGAAUUUAUACUUUCCUCUAGACUGCCUGCUCAAAACAUUGGUCUAUACCUCAAGGGGGCAUUCUAAAAUAUAUUUUUUCCGAAUUUACUUUGAUAGCCAUGUUUGGCACAUGUGGGUCACCAUUUACAAGAAAAUUUGGGUGAUUUGGAGGUGCUGGAAAAAAUCACCUAUGUUCAAAAACUGGCUUAAGUUAGACCAAAUGGCCCCUCUGGAAUGCGGUGAUUUUUUUGACCACCUCCGAAUCACCUCUAUUUUGGCACACAUGAUGCAUUGCACAAACAAAGCUAGUUUUCCAAGGUUUUAUAUUUUUUUUGAAUAUUUUACAAAUUUAUAAUGCCCUCUAGACUGACUGGUCAAAACAUUGGUCUGUACCUCAAGGGGGCAUUGUAAAGUUUUAUUUCUCCAAAUUUUCUUUUAUAGCCAUGUUUGGCACAUGUGGGUCACCAUGUACAAGCAAAUUUGGGUGAUUUGGAGGUGGUGGAAAAAAUCACCUAUGUUCAAAAACUGUCUUAUGUUAGACCAAAUGGCCCCUCCGAAAUGUGGUGAUUUUUUCGACCACCUCCAAAUCACCUCAAUUUUGGAACAGAUGAUCUCUUGCACAAACAAAGCUAGUUUUCCAAGGUUUUAUACUUUUGAAUUUUUUAUUAAUUUAUAAUGCCCUCUAGACUGACUGGUCAAAACAUCGAUCUAUACCUCAAGGGGGCAUUGUAAAGUUUUAUUUCUCCAAAUUUUCUUUCAUAGCCAUGUUUGGCAAAUGUGGGUCACCAUGUACAAGCAAAUUUGGGUGAUUUGGAGGCNNNNNNNNNNNNNNNNNNNNNNNNNNNNNNNNNNNNNNNNNNNNNNNNNNNNNNNNNNNNNNNNNNNNNNNNNNNNNNNNNNNNNNNNNNNNNNNNNNNNNNNNNNNNNNNNNNNNNNNNNNNNNNNNNNNNNNNNNNNNNNNNNNNNNNNNNNNNNNNNNNNNNNNNNNNNNNNNNNNNNNNNNNNNNNNNNNNNNNNNNNNNNNNNNNNNNNNNNNNNNNNNNNNNNNNNNNNNNNNNNNNNNNNNNNNNNNNNNNNNNNNNNNNNNNNNNNNNNNNNNNNNNNNNNNNNNNNNNNNNNNNNNNNNNNNNNNNNNNNNNNNNNNNNNNNNNNNNNNNNNNNNNNNNNNNNNNNNNNNNNNNNNNNNNNNNNNNNNNNNNNNNNNNNNNNNNNNNNNNNNNNNNNNNNNNNNNNNNNNNNNNNNNNNNNNNNNNNNNNNNNNNNNNNNNNNNNNNNNNNNNNNNNNNNNNNNNNNNNNNNNNNNNNNNNNNNNNNNNNNNNNNNNNNNNNNNNNNNNNNNNNNNNNNNNNNNNNNNNNNNNNNNNNNNNNNNNNNNNNNAUCACCUCUAUUUUGGCACACAUGACCUAUUGCACAAACAAAGCUAGGUUUUCAAGGUUUUAUGUUUUUUUGAAUUUAUACUUCCCUUUAGACUGCCUGCUCAAAACAUCAGUCUAUACCUCAAGGGGGCAUUGUAAAAUAUUCUUUUUCAAAAUUUUCUUUGAUAGCCAUGUUUGGCACAUGUGGGUCACCAUUUACAAGAAAAUUUGGGUGAUUUGGAGGUGGUGGAAAAAAUCACCUAUGUUCAGAAACUAGCAUAAGUUAGACCAAAUGGCCCCUCCGGAAUGCGAUGAUUUUUUCGACCACCUCCAAUUCACCUCAAUUUUGGCACACAUGAUCUCUUGCACAAACAAAGCUAGUUUUCCAAAGUUUUAUAUUUUUUAGAAUUUUUUAUUAACUUAUAAUGCCCUCUAGACUGACUGGUCAAAACAUUGGUCCAUACCUCAAGGGGGCAUUGUAAAAUAUUAUUUUUUUCCAAAAUUUCUUUCAUAGCAAUGUUUGGCACAUUGUGGGUCACCAUGUACAAGAAAAUGUGGGUCACAAUUUUUGAUUUUUUUCUGAUUUUUUUAUGCCCUGCCCAUUGCCGGUUCGAAACAAGCGACUUCACAGAACCACUAUAAGUUGUACAAAAGGAGAUCUUUCAUAUUUCAAAUAAUCAACUUGCAUUUCAUGAAAAAAACUCCUUCAUAUUGCAAUUAAUCAUUACACCUUUAUUCAAAUGUUGUUUUUUCCGCACACACACACCAUCUUUAACUACCUUUUUAUUAGUAUUUCAUGAAAUGAUGGAAUAUGUGCUCAGUUAUUGGAGUAUUUGAUCAUAUGGUGGAGUAUUUGCUAUUUUUGCUUCCUCAAAUGAAGGAAAGAUGUCAUAUGUGGGGAUGAACAAUUUCCACUUACUUCACUAAACAACAUUAAUUAACUUAACGCAAAGUUUUACAUUUGGUCCGAUUUGCUUAUGGGCAGAGCAUGUUGCACAUGGCCACAACAUGGGAAUUUAUUGCACCAUUCCACAGCAUGUUCCACAUGGCCGCAACAUGGGAAGUGUUUGCAGCAUGCCUGAUCAGUGAAGCAACACUGAUGCAGCAUGUCUGAUCAUUGCAGCAGCUAAAUUCAAGCAAAUCAUACUUCUAAGGAACCAUACAUCUAAGGAACCAUAGUGGCAAAUUUAAGGGACACAAAUAUAGAUAGCAAUAUAUAUUACUACCAUAGACAGCAGCAUGCACACUACACACUUGCUGAUGUAGACCACUAGCAUAUUAGAUAUGUUUAGACCACACAUCACAGUACUACACUUAGAUAAAGUUCAUACUAAAUUACCACUAAAGUUUCCACCAUCAGAAUACCACAUAAAGUUCACCAAAAGGACUGAGCCUUCCUCCAUCAUACGAUAACCAGGGUCUAGGGCAACUACUUGUUACGGUUUUUCAGGACCUUGUGGAGGGCAGAAUAUUGAGCACUAAUCUUGUACUCAUCACUGCUAAUGGAUGUAGCCCGAAAAUGUUCCAUCAGAUGCUCCAUCAACCCAGACCUGGGCUUGGGCCUGCUGCAGUAGGGGCACCGGUACUUGUCCGUCUUCCAGUUGUAGUACAUAGCACAUCCUUGGGCCCUGAUCUUCUGCACCACCUUCUCUUCAAAGGACUCGGUGUUCCCCUCAUCCACAUCAUCUCCAGAUUGAUAUUGCACACAUUAAUGACUGACAUUAAUACAUUAUGCAUUCAAAUACUAUAAACAUCUAACACUAAGUCAAUGCACAAAUAACAUUUCAGGUAGGCCUUACCUCGUACGGCUCAUCCUCAUCACUGUCAUAAGGGUAGUAGCCAGAUGAGUCCCACUUCCUCUUGUUGCCAACAAGAUCCUCCUUCUGCUAUAUUGUCAACCAAGCAAGUCAUUUACAAGGAUUUGAAUUGCAGUUCAAAUAAUGUCAUUACAAACAAGUUGAUUUUGCAUAAUGAUGGAAAGCUCCUAACUAUAUUGAAAAGGUGCACAGGUUACACAUGGUACGUACAUUUCAACAACUAAUUCAUAGACUAUAUAUCAAGCUAUAUAGAUACUAAACAAUUGGGUUAUGAACAUACAAGUUCAUUCAUAUGGACAUACAAAUUCAGAUUUUGCUUUUGAACAUGCAUAUGAAGGUAUAAAUGAAUAUCAUUCCUCUCUUAUUAACCAAUGAGAUAGCAGUUUUUGAUAGACAAUGCAAAUAGGACCUUUAUAUAUAACUUCACAAAGAUGUCAGGUUUUCAUUUCAAUUGUAAAUAUUAAUAAAUAUUUAGUUCAGAGCAGUUCUCGAUGAUCACUCAUAUGUCAGAAUAAGUGAAGUGGUGAAGCCUAACUCCUACAUCUAAUUAGAACACCCUAACUCCAGCAUCUAAUUAAAAAACACUAACUCCUAGAUCCACUGGAACAUUGAAUCAAAAAAUUUCCUUACAUAUAUCAUUGGAUAUAAAUGAAUCCACUACAAAUAACACUAACUCAUACAUCUAAUUAAAAUAUCAUAACUCUUACUUCUACUGCAUCAUUCAGUCACACCAUUUAAUUACAUUUAUCUUUGCCUAUAAAUGAAUCCAAUACAAAAGAAACCUAACUAAAUAUCUAAUUAGGAAACACUAAUUAGUACAUCUACUACUUCAUUCAAUCACAUAAUCUAUAUAAUUGUCUAUAAAUGAAUAAUACAAAUAAACCUUAACUAAUCAACUAAUUAAUAAAACCAUAACUACUACAUCUACUAGAUGAUUCAAUCAUAGAUCAUACAUAUAACUGGCUAUAAAUGAAUCCAAUACAAGAAAACCCUAACUAAACAUCUAAUUAAAAAACCCUAACUACUACAUCUACUGGAUGAUUCAUAUGACAUUCAUGCAUGGAGUUAUGCAACAACAAUUUAAUAUGAGUUGGUCAUCUGGCAUAGUUGCAUGUCUAGCAAACCUACUUAUGGUUCACUUUAUAAGUACAGGAAUCCUACAGAUCAAAAAUAAACCUACCUAUAAUUUGAGUUUAUAGAUAAUGAAGUGAAGCUCCUAACUAUUUUGAAAUUGUGCACUAGUUAAACGUACUGUGUUCAUUUCAACAAUUAAUUGAUAGACUUCAAAUGAACAAAGUAGGAUUUAACCUCAUUUGUACAAUAUCAACUUUAAUAGAUACACUGGGUGGCGGCUCAGCCCCUGCCGUGGCCCACUGAGGGAAUAUGCAAAACAAAUCUAAGAACAUAUACAACACAGAACAAAAUCUGAGCACAUGAGGCAAUCCAGAUUCUAAUUUAAAAACAUAACUCUCAUUAUGAUCUCUCUAACAUUCAACCAUGAAUCAACUAUAAAAAGCCCUAACUCUCUAAUGGGGUUCCCCAUUCAAUCAAAAAACCCUAACAAGCAGAAGGGGGUGCCGCAUUCAAUCACAAAUCUACAAUAAAAAAAAACCUAUCUACUAAAUCUUUGCUUAAAAACUACAACUAAGAGAGGAGGGGAACGAGAAGGAUUACCACAUCCACCACCUUCUCGUCGCUCGCCUCCGCACCUGCAUCCAGUGCGCCGCGAGACACCGUCACCACCAGGUCUGGCACGACGGAGUCCGAGCCCACCACCCCCUGCUCCACCAGAUCCGCCGCCGCAGCGACCGAUCCAGCGACUACGGGUGUAGCAUCUCCCGCACCGCCGACGGCGACCACUUCUUGGACGGCAUCUGCCGCGGCCUCGGCCGCAACUCCGUGCACAGUGGUGGCAGCGCCACCACCUUGCGCCAUUGAAGCCUAAGAGAACCCACCGGAGAGAGGGAGGCCUUGGGGUUGAGCGAGUAGGUGCGGUGGCGCGGCGAUGGAGAUGAGGGGGAGACGAUGCGGCAAAGAGAGAGGGAGUGAGCCGAUUUGGGGGUAAAUGGUGGGGGCGAUGCUGUCGGUGGUGGUUCCCCUCCCUCUUUAUAGGAUGUGACGUUUUUGGAAGUUUUCGUGCGCUGCGUGGCCGCGUGGCUAGCCCACGACUGCCGCCGCCCACGCCCACGACCGCCGCACAUGACAAGGGAAAACGAUACGCCGACGUACAAUACAUGUAUAUCCUUAGUGUACAAAAGUAAUCGGGCCGGUGCGGGCUUGUACAAGGUUGUACGCGCGCCGGUGCGGGCUUGUACAUGGCUGUACGCGCGCUCUCCUCGGGCAUAAAAAGACAAUCGUGCCCCUCUUCACGAAUCGUUUUUGACAGAUCUCAGCCGACCUUGUGUUUCUCCCCCUCGUGUUCAACCCAGGGGGGAGCACCGGAGCAGAAACGGCACCCAAGAUCAAGGACCUCAAGUUCAGAUGCGUUUUCUCUAGGAAAACCUACCGCGCCAUGCCGCCAUCCAGCCAACGGGACUUGGUGGCCAGCGUCGACGGCGCCGCCGUCUGGUAUUUGGUCGACGAUGGCCCGUGCCCUACUCUCCAUGACAUCCUCACCGGAGCCGUCGUCAAGCAUCUCCCCCCAUUCCCCAAGGAAAUCAUAGAAUGCAUCAGCAAGGGGACUACCAGUAAUUAUACACUUGGGCAUGGCCUCCACAGCAUCGUCUACGGUGACGGCACCACACUUCUCUAUGGCCUGUACGAAAUCGACCUGCAGGACGACGACCUUAUUGCUAACUUCUGGGCAGCCAUCCUGCCUCCCGGAGAAGGCACGGGGACGGUCGUCGAGAGGACGCUUGAAUGCCCGGAUAUUACCAACUUCUACAUCACGUAUCACCGUGGAAACAUAUUGGUCACCGGCGGGUCUGACCUAUGGCACACCGUGACACUGGACGAUUACCACGACGCCAUUCGAGAUGUGGUGGUGCCGAGCCCCUGGAUGCCAGGGGAUCAUCUAAACUACUUAGACAUAUACAACUACCUUCUCGAGUCCCACGGCGAGCUUCUCUGGGUGUCAGUUCACGUCCGCAAAGAUUACAUGGAUUAUUGGCGGCGCCGUUGUGUGGCCUUUGUCUCUUUCCUUCUUGGCGCCCUCUCGGUGUCCAUUCGUGCCCUAGAGGGGGAGGCGCCGGAGAAAAUGCGGUGGGUGAGGAAGGAUGGCGAGAGCCUAGCUAACCGCGUCUUAUUCCUGGGGUGGCCCAACAUCUUUGCCGUGGAUGCAUCGCGGCUAGGCGGUGAUACCGUGUCCACCGGAUGUGCAUAUUUUGUUUUCUUUAACGAAGACGCCAGAUGCGUCCGGCUUUAAAUUAAUAAAGCCCCAACGGCAGAGGAACACCAAUAAGUCUUUGAUGUCUACUACACAACCUUCUUUUGUAGACGUUGUUGGGCCUGGAAGUGCACAGGUUUGUAGGACAGUAGCAAAUUUCCCUCAAGUGGAUGACCAAAGGUUUAUCAAUCUGUAGGAGGUGUAGGAUGAAGAUGGUCUCUCUCAAACAACCCUGCAACCAAAUAACAAAGAGUCUCUUGUGUCCCCAAUGCACCCAAUACAAUGGUAAAUUGUAUAGGUGCACUAGAUCGGCGAAGAGAGGAAGAUACAAGUGCAAAAUAGAUAGUAGAUAAAGGUAUUUGUAAUCUGAAAUAAUAAAAACAGCAAGGUAGCGAGCGAUAAAAGUGAGUGUAAAUGGUAUUGCAAUGAUAGGAAACAAGGCCUAGGGUUCAUACUUUCACUAGUGCAAGUUCUCUCAACAAUAAUAACAUAGAUAUAUCAUAUAACAAGCCCUCAACAUGCAACAAAGAGUCACUCAAAAGCCACUAAUAGCGGAGAACAAACAUAGAGAUUAUGGUAGGGUACGAAACCACCUCAAAGUUAUUCUUUCGGAUCGAUCUAUAAAAGAGUUCAUACUACAAUAACACCUUAAGACACAAAUCAACCAAAACCCUAAUGUCACCUAGAUACUCCAUUGUCACCUCAAGUAUCCGUGGGCAUGACUAUACGAUAUGCAUCACACAAUCUCAGAUUCAUCCAACCAACAUAAAAGUACUUCAAAGAGUGCCCCAAAGCUACUACCGGAAAGUCAAGAACGUGUGCCAACCCCUAUGCAUAGGUUCCCAAUGUCACGAAACCCGCAAGUUGAUCACCAAAACAUACAUCAAGUGGCACAUGAUAUCCCAUUGUCACCACAGAUAAUCACGGCAAGACAUGCAUCAAGUGUUCUCAUAAAAGACUCAAUCCGAUAAGAUAACUUCAAAGGGGAAACUCAAUUCAUCACAAGAGAGUAGAGGGGGAGAAACAUCAUAAGAUCCAAAUACAAUAGCAAAGCUUGGGAUACAUCAAGAUCGUGCCAUAGAGGAACACGAGAGAGAACACGAGAGAGAGAGAGAGAUCAAACACAUAGCUACUGGUACAUACCCUCAGCCCCGAGGGUGAACUACUCCCUCCUCGUCAUGGAUAGUGCCGGGAUGAUGAAGAUGGCCUCCGGUGAUGGGAUCCCCCUCCGACAGGGUGCCGGAAUAGGGUCCCGAUUGGUUUUUGGUGGCUACAGAGGCUUGCAGCGGUGGAACUCCCGAUCUAUCUUCUGUUUUGGAAGUUUUAUGAUACGCAGGUAUAUAUGGGUGCAGGGAGUACGUAGGUGGAGCUACGAGGGCCCCACGAGGCAGGGGGCGCGCCCAGGGGGCGCACCCCCACCCUCGUGGCAGCUCGCGUAUCUUCUGACGUAGAGUCCAAGUCUAUCCGGUGGCUUUCCUUCCAAAAAUAACUUCUCCAGUUGAUUUCGUGGCGUUUUGACUCCGUCUGAUAUUCCUUUUUCUCGAAACACUGAAAUAGGCAUAAAAUAGCAAAUCUGGGUUGGGCCUCCGGUUAAUAGGUUAGUCCCAAAAAUAAUAUAAAAGUGGAAAAUAAAGCCCAAUAUUGCCUAAAACAGUAGAUAAAGUAGCAUCGAGUAAUCAAAAAUUAUAGAUACGUUGGAGAUGUAUCAAGCAUCCUCAAGCUCAAUUCCUGCUCGUCCUCGAGUAGGUAAAUGAUAAAAAGAGAAUUUUUUAUGCGGAGUGAUACUUUGGCAUAAUUUCAAUGUAAAUCUUCUUAAUUGUGGUAUGAAUAUUCAGAUCCAUAAGAUUCAAGACAAAAGUUCAUAUUGACAUAAAAGUAAUAAUACUUCAAGCAUUCUAAUAAAGCAAUUAUGUCUUCUCAAAAUAACAUGGCAAAAGAAAUUCAUCCCUACAAAAUCAUAUAGUUAGGCUAUGCUUCAUUUUCGUCACACAAAGAUGUUCCCAACUUCUAUACCCCCGAUGACAAGCCAAGCAAUUGUUUCAUACUUAAAUAAUCUCAAACUUUUUCAACCUUCACACAAUGUAUGAGCGUGAGCCAUGGAUAUAGCACUAUGGGUGGAAUAGAAUAUGAUGAUGGGGAUUGUGUGGAGAAGACAAAAAAGGAGAAAGUCUCAUAUUGACGAGGAUAAUCAACGGGCUAUGGAGAUUCCCAUCAAUUGAUGUCAACAUGAGGAGUAGGGAUUGCCAUGCAACGGAUGCACUAGAGCUAUGAAUGCUCAACAAAAGAAAACUAGUGGGUGUGCAUCCAACUUGCUUGCUCAUGAAGACCUAGGGCAUUUGAGGAAGCCCAUUGUAGGAAUAUACAAGCCAAGUUCUAUAAUGAAAAAUUCCCACUAUAAAAAAGACAACUUACGAGACUCACUACAUGAAGAACAAGGUUCUACUUUGAAGCACAAUAUAUGAGACUCACUACAUGAAGAACAAGGUGCUAAUUUGAAGCACAAGUGUGGAAAAAGAGAUAGUAGCAUUGCCCUUUUUAUUUAUUUUCUCUUUUUUGGGGCCUUUCUCUUUUUUUUUGGCCUUUCUUCUUUUUUUUCUUUUGGGAAAUGCUCUAAUAAUGAUGAUCAUCACACUUCUAUUGAUUACAACAUAAGGAUUACAACUCGAAACUUAGAACAAGAUAUGACUCUAUAUGAAUGCCUCCGGCAGUGUACCGGGAUGGUGCAAUGAAUCAAGAGUGACAUGUAUGAAAAAUAAUGCAUGGUGGCCUUGCCACAAAUACGAUGUCAACUACAUGAUCAUGCAAUGGCAAUAUGACAAAAGUAAUGUAUGUCAUGAUGAUGAUGGUGGAAGUUGCAUGGCAAUAUAUCUCGGAAUGGCUAUGGAAAUGCCAUAAUAGGUAGGUAUGGUGGCUGUUUUGAGGAAGAUAUAAGGAGGUUUAUGUGUGAUAGAGCGUAUCGUAUCACGGGGUUUGGAUGCACCGGCGAAGUUUGCGCCAACUCUCAAGUAGAAAGGGCAAUGCAUGGUACCGAAGAGGCUAGCAAAGGCGGAAAGGUGAGAGUGCGUAUAAACCAUGGACUCAACAUUAGUCAAAAGAACUCAUAUACUUAUUGCAAAAAUUUAGAAGUCAUCAAAAACCAAGUACUACGCGCAUGCUCCUAGGGGGAUAGAUUGGUAGGAAAAGACCAUCGUUCAUCCCCGACCGCCACUCAUAAGGAUGCACAAGCCAGGUACAGUUCAUGUUUCAAAUUUGUUACACAACUUUAACCAUACGUGCAUGCUACGGGACUUGCAAACUUCAACACAAGAAUUUUCUCAAAUUCAAAAUUACUCAACUAGCACGACUUUGAUAUUAUCACAUCCAUAUCUAAAAACAAUUAUCAAGCAUCAAACUUAUCUUAGUAUUCAACGCACUCAAAAGAAAGUUUCACAUAUCUUGAAUAUACCAAGUAUAUUAACAUUAACCAAAUUACCAUGCUAUUAACGACUCUCAAAAUAAUAUAAGCGAAGCAUGAGAGUUCAAUAGUUUCUUUAAAACAAAUCCACCACCGUGCUCUCAAAAUAUAUAAGUGAAGUACUAGAGCAAAAAUUAUCACGCUCAAAAGAUAUAAGUGAAGCACUAUGAGCAAACGACAAACUACUCCAAUAAGAUAUAAGUGAAGAUCAAUGAGUAGUCGAAUAAUUAUGCAACUAUGUGAAGACUCUCCCAUUUAAUAAUUUCAGAUCUUGAUACUUUAUUCAAACAGCAAGCAAAGCUUAAGAAAACUACAUUGCAAGGAUAGCACAACUCAUGUGAAGAAGCAAAAACUUAGGCUCAACCGAUACUAACCGAUAGUUGUUGAAGAAGAAAGGUGGGAUGCCUACCGGGGCAUCCCCAAGCUUAGAUGCUUGAGAUUUCUUGAAAUAUUAUCUUGGGGUGCCUUGGGCAUCCCCAAGAUUGAGCUUUUGUGUCUCCUUAAUUCAUCUCAUAUCAUGGUUCCUCUUCUUUUAUCAAAAGCUUCAUUCACAACAAACUUAACAAGAACUCGUGAGAUAGGUUAGUAUAAGCCAAUGCAAAACCUUAUCAUAUUCUACUGUAACAAAUCCCUAAUAUAAUUAUUCAACGUUGAAUACUAAAUUCCUCUGAAUAUUUAAUACUCCUAUCCUCAAAUAGAAUCAUUGAACAAGCAAACAUAUGCAAACAAUGCAAACAUAACAGCAAUCUGUCAAAACAGUACAGUCUGUAAAGAAUUCAAGAGUAUCAAUACUUCCCUGACUCCAACAAUUAUGAACUAAAAUUCCCACUUUAACAAAUUUAUCAGAGCUUAAUAUGCAAAAAUAAUUAACGGUAUACCAUUCUCUGACUUUUCUAGGGACUUUUUGCAACAGCGGUAAACUUUCUGUUUUCAAACAGCAACAUGUAUACUAGCAAAAUAAGCAUGGCAAAGGCUAUCCUUGAAUUUUUUAUUGAAACUAAAGAAUAAAAACAUUAUUCUAACUAACAGCAAGCAAAACUAACAAAAUAAAAUGACGCUCCAAGCAAAACACAUAUCAUGUGGUGAAUAAAAAUAUAGCUCCAAGUAAAGUUACCGAUGAACGAAGACGAAAGAGGGGAUGCCUUCCGGGGCAUCCCCAAGCUUAGUUGCUUGGUUGUCCUUGAAUUUUACCUUGGGGUGCCUUGGGAAUACCUAAGCUUAGGCUCUUUCCACUCCUUAUUCCAUAGUCCAUCGAAUCUUUACCCAAAACUUGAAAACUUCAACCACACAAAACUCAAAACAAAACUCGUAAGCUCCGUUAGUAUAAGUAAAUUAAACCACCACUUAGGUACUGUAAUGAACUCAUUCUAAAUUCGUAUUGGUGUAAUAUCUACUGUAUUCUAACAUCUCUAUGGUUCAUGCCACUUAAUACUAGCCAUAGAUGCAUCAAAAUAGGCAAACAACACAUAGAAAACAGAAUCUGUCAAAAACAGAACAGUCUGUAGUAAUCUGUAUCAAACGUAUACCUAUGGAACCCCAAAAAUUAUGAAAUAAAUUGCUGGACCUGAGUAAUUUGUCUAUUCUCGUGAGCGCAAAAGUCUUUUUUUACAGCAAGAUCAUAUAAACUUCACCCAAGUCUUCCCAAAGGUUCUACUUGGCACUUUACUGAAACAAAAAGCUAUAAAACAUGAUUACUACAGUAGCAUAAUCAUGUGGACACACAAAAACAAUAAGGGUAAAUAUUGGGUUGUCUGCUAACAAGCGCUUUUCUUUAAUGCCUUUCUAGCUAGGCAUGACGAUGACAAUGAUGCUCACAUAAAAGAUAAGGGUUGAAACAUAACGGGAGCAUCAUGAAGCAUAUGACUAGCACAUUUAAGCCUAACCCACUUCCUAUGCAUAGGGACUUUGUGAGCAAACAACUUAUGGGAACAAUAAUCAACUAGCAUAGGAAGGUAGCACAAGCAUAGCUUCAAGAAUUUAAGCACAUAGGGAGGAAACUUGAUAUUAUUGCAAUUCCUACAACCAUAUGUUCCUCUCUCAUAAUAAUUUUCAGUAGCAUCAAGAAUGAAUUCAACAAUAUAACCAGCACCUAAAGCAUUCUUUUCAUGAUCUACAAGCAUAGAAAAUUUACUACUAUCCACAUAAGCAAAUUUCUUCUCAUGAAUAGUAGUGGGAGCAAACUCAACAAAAUAACUAUCAUGUGAUUGAAAAUUAAGAUCAAGAUGACACGUUUCAUGGUUAUCAUUAUUCUUUAAAGCCUACAUGUCAUCACAAUAAUCAUCAUAGAUAGGAGGCAUGCUUUCAUCAUAGUAAAUUUGCUCAUCAAAGCUUGGGGGACAAGAAAUAUCAUCUCCAUCAAACAUAGCUUCCCCAAGCUUGUGGCUUUGCAUUUCAUUAGCAUCAUGGGUAUUCAAGGAAUUCAUGCUAACAACAUUGCAAUCAUGCUCAUCAUUCACAUAUUUUAUGCCAAGAAUUCUAUGUAAUUCUUCUUCUAGUACUUGAGCACAAUUUUCCUUUCCAUCAUACUCACGAAAGAUAUUAAAAAGAUGAAGCGUAUGUGACAAACUUAAUUCCAUUUUUUUGUAGUUUUCUUUUAUAAAAUAAGCUAGUGCUAAAACAAGAAACAAAAAGAUUCGAUUGCAAGAUCUAAAGAUAUACCUUCAAGCGCUAACCUCCCCGGCAACGGCGCCAUAAAAGAGCUUGAUGUCUACUACACAACCUUCUUCUUGUAGACGUUGUUGGGCCUGCAAGUGCACAGGUUUGUAGGACAGUAGAAAAUUCCCCUCAAGUGGGUAACCUAAGGUUUAUCAAUCCGUAGGAGGCGUAGGAUGAAGAUGGUCUCUCUCAAACAACCCUGCAACCAAAUAACAAAGAGUCUCUUGUGUCCCCAACACACCCAAUACAAUGGUAAAUUGUAUAGGUGCACUAGUUCGGCGAAGAGAUGAAGAUACAAGUGCAAAACAGAUCGUAGAUAAAGGUAUUUGUAAUAUGAAAUAAUAAAAACAGCAAGGUAGCGAGCGAUAAAAGUGAGCGUAAACGGUAUUGCAAUGAUAGGAAACAAGGCCUAGGGUUCAUACUUUCACUAGUGCAAGUUCUCUCAACAAUAAUAACAUAGAUAGAUCAUAUAACAAGCCCUCAACAUGCAACAAAGAGUCACUCCAAAGCCACUAAUAGCGGAGAACAAACGUAGAGAUUAUGGUAGGGUACGAAACCACCUCAAAGUUAUUCUUUCGGAUCGAUCUAUAAAAGAGUUCGUACUAGAAUAACACCUUAAGACACAAAUCAACCAAAACCCUAAUGUCACCUAGAUACUCCAUUGUCACCUCAAGUAUCUGUGGGCAUGAUUAUACGAUAUGCAUCACACAAUCUUAGAUUCAUCCAACCAACAUAAAAGUACUUCAAAAAGUGCCCCAAAGCUACUACCGGAGAGUCAAGAACGUGUGCCAACCCCUAUGCAUAGGUUCCCAAUGUCACGAAACCCGCAAGUUGAUCGCCAAAACAUACAUCAAGUGGCACAUGAUAUCCCAUUGUCACCACAGAUAAUCACGGCAAGACAUACAUCAAGUGUUCUCAUAAAAGACUCAAUCUGAUAAGAUAACUUCAAAGGGGAAACACAAUUCAUCACAAGAGAGUAGAGGGGGAGAAACAUCAUAAGAUCCAACUACAAUAGCAAAGCUCGGGAUACAUCAAGAUCGUUCCAUAGAGGAACAUGAGAGAGAACACGAGAGAGAGAGAGAGAGAUCAAACACAUAGCUAUUGGUACAUACCCUCAGCCCCGAGGGUGAACUACUCCCUCCUCGUCAUGGAUAGCGCCGGGAUGAUGAAUAUGGCCUCCAGUGAUGGGAUCCCCCUCCGGCAGGGUGCCGGAACAGGGUCCCGAUUGGUUUUUGUGGCUACAGAGGCUUGCGGCGGCGGAACUCCCGAUAUAUCUUCUGUUUUGGAAGUUUUACGAUACGUAGGUAUAUAUGGGUGCAGGGAGUACGUCGGUGGAGCUACGAGGGCCCCAUAAGGCAGGGGGGCUCGCCCGGGGGGGCGCGCCCCCCACCCUCAUGGCCGGCUCCCGUAUCUUCUGACGUAGAGUCCAAGUCUAUCCGGUGGCUUUCCUUCCAAAAAUAACUUCUCCAGUUGAUUUCGUUGCGUUUUGACUCCGUGUGAUAUUCCUUUUCCUCGAAACACUGAAAUAGGCAUAAAACAGCAAAUCUGGGCUGGGCCUCCGGUUAAUAGGUUAGUCCCAAAAAUAAUAAAAGAGUGGAAAAUAAAGCCCAAUAUUGCCUAAAACAAUAGAUAAAGUAGCAUGGAUCAAUAAAAAAUUAUAGAUACGUUGGAGACGUAUCAGUCUUACAACACCAAAAGCCACAUCGGGCCACGCACAGAGUUCGGACGAAGAUUAAGAUAACUACUGACGCAUUACAAGGCUUAGCCCGUAUAGAGCGCGCAGGCUCUUCAAGCACGCAAAAAAUACCACGGAGACCACCGUAGUCACAGCUCCCUAGCCGCCGCGUACACUUACAAUAUUCGUUGUUGAGCGAUCUUGAUUAAAUCAGCAUCCUUGUGCCUCCCCAACAGACUCCACUGCUUCAAAAGGAGAUUGCAUUUGAAGAUAAUAUUAGCCGGGUGCUUUGGCAAAGUCCCCUCAAUCGUGAGUUUAUUCCUAGUUAGCCACAUGGCCUAAAGAAGUGCCCCAACACAACUCCACACUACCAGUUUUGUUGGGCCAUGCAACGCGUCUAAAAUGUGAAUAAGCUCUGCUGCCGUGCGAGGGUCCCACUGGACCCUAGCCACGGACCUCACUGCGCUCCACGCAAACCGCGCUAAGGGGCACCGAAAGAAAACAUGAUCCGCGUCCUCUGGGUCCCCGCACAGCGCACAUGGCCCAUUGGCCGGACCAUUGUGUUUGGCCACGUUCAGGGAGGUGGGUAACUUAUCGCGGAACAUUUGCCAAAGGAAUAAUUUGAUCUUUAGUGGCAAACGCGCUUUCAAUAACCCUGCAACCACAAGCUGCGACGACCCCCGGCACAGCUUACGGUCAAGAGAGUUGACCAAGAACUUCCCAGAGCUGGUGAGCGCCUAGCUCACCGAGUCCGGUUGGUCUGAAAGAUCCACCCGUGCAAUCAGCUGCCGCAGGCUCUGUAGGCUGGCCUGCUCUUGCCCCAGGAGUUCACGUUUGAACUGAAUUUCCGGAGGGGUCGAUCGCAGCGCAUCAGACAUCGACAUGCCUGGAUCCACAACGAUGUCGUACAGAGCACGGAAUUCCUCCCAUAAGGGGCGGGUGCCUAUCCAAAGAUCUGUCUAGAAACGUGCUGAUCGCCCAUCUCCAAUCGAGAAUUUAGCCCCCAAGGCAAAGACCGCCUUGAUCGACUGGAGAUCAUUCCAAAAAAAAUGAGCCCCUUGCCCUACCUUCAAAGAAAUUCCCAUUCGGGAAGUACUUGGCCCUAAGGAGAUCAACCCACAAUCUGGACGCCCCCUGGACAAUUUUUCAGAUCCACUUACACAUCAUCGCGAUGUUAAGCAAUCUCGAGUUGGUGAUCCCCAGGCCCCCCAAGGCCUUGUGUCGGCACACCCAUACCCAUUUAACCAUGUGGUAUUUGCGGUCUGGCUAAUUCCUUCCCAAAAGAAUUUAGCGCGGGGUGUGUCGAACUUUUCAUGCACUCCCUCUGCAAGCAAAAACAAACCAAUAGCAAACAUUGGCAAGGAAGAGAGGCUUGAGUUCAUGAGAACUAGCCUGGCCGCUUUUGAAAGGAAUUUACCCCUCCAAGGGCACACCCUAACCCUCACCUUUGCACAUAGAGGUUCCCAAUCCUCUAUCGUAGGCCUUUUGGUGUGAACUGGGAGGCCGAGGUAUGCCAGCGGGAAUUUGCCCACCUUACAGUUGAGCAAAUCUGCAAUGCGCCUACCCUCCUCCGGCUCAACCCCCGUCGUGACCACCUCGCAUUUGUGGAAAUUUAUUUUGAGCCCCGACAUGAGCUCAAAACAAAUAAGAAUCGCCUUGACCGACGCAAUGUUGUGGUGGUCUGGGCGAAACAGAAGCAGCGUGUCAUCUGCAUAUUGUAGAUGCGUCACUCCCCCUGGAAUGAGGUGGCAUACCAACCCUUGGAUAUGGCCAGCUGCGGCUGCUUUCCGAAGCAUCGCAGACAGAGCAUCCACAACAAAAUUGAACAGGAGAGGGGACAUCGGGUCACCCUGCCUGAGUCCGCGUUUGUUCCGAAAGAAAUGCCCUAUUUCUCCGUUCACCGAAACUACAGUUUGGCCUCCCGACACCAGUUGCAUAAUUCGGUGUACCGCAUAUUUUGUCUACAACAUAGAGAACGACAUGCCUGGUCGAUCGUGUUAUGUGCUUAGGUAUAAUCUCCUCAACGGCAAGACCAAAUUCGUGGAGCAGUUGCCUGAUGGAUGGGAUGAUGAUAUGUGCAUGUGGCUCUUCCCCCUGCCCGCUGUUGCUCCAAACCAGGUAUACAUAAUCAUAUUUACACAUCUUUCUUUCUUUUUCGUCGAAAUGCAAUUAUAUUUAGACGUAAUAACUCCACAAACGUUAUAUCUCAUACUGAACAUGACUAUUUCACAUUCAACUUUGAUAUUGUUAUUUCUUUGACGACAUUCACAGCUGUGCGAUCAAAUCUUCUCGUCCGUUUGUGAUUCGACCAACAACCUUAGACCUUGGCAUCAACUUAUAAGUGAGGAAGAGUUAUUUUCUUGGAAAUAGACAAACCCUUUUUUGCUAGUUCGGUGACUAGCGCUAUACUUGUAAAAUCACAUUUAUACUGACAACACGCAUGCAUCAUGAGCAUUAUUCAUUCAAUGUAGCGGUUAGUAGUGCUAUAUUUUUUUUAAUUUAACAAAUGUCAUAGGAUAAGCUGAUGGUUAAACUGUGUAUUAGUACAUCCUUCUAAUAUUGGUUAGAUAAAUGUACUAACCCUCUCCCGCUAUAAAUUUGAUUUUGCUGGAUCAGGAAAUCAGUCAAAGGUGUGAUAGUUUAAAAUGGUGGAAGAGGAAAAACCUGCCUCACAGGGUGAUAGUUUAAAAGGACUACAACUCCAAAAAGCACUAUUCACAUAGAGAGACCUCAGCAACAACAUUACUAGUCUUAUUUCACGGUGAUCGUAAACAACCUGCCUCACAGGGUGAAUAACUUUCAGCUGCGUCGGUUCUUCAGCCAGCACGGUAAGGUGUCCCAAGCUAAGGUGAGAUGUAAGAAGAAGACCAAUAUCUCAAAGGGAUUCAGGCAUGUGACCAUGGAGAUGGUCGAGGAACAUGCUAAUGCUCUUGCUACACUUGACGGACUGGUAAGUGCAUACAUAUUAUGGCUUAACUAGAUGAUACCCCACGUAUUGCCGUGGGACUCAGUUGCAGUAUACUUUCAUGAUAUUUUAUUAUUUUGAAUAUGAAUAUUUGUGUGAAUAAUAUGAGAACUGAAACUAAAAACAUAUAUGAUUUACUAUAUUUAAUUAUUGUUGAGGUGGGUCUUUUUCCCAUGCAUGUUUGCAUGACGAUGUGGGUCUUUUGCAUGCAUGUGUAACUUGAUGAGGUGAUGGGCCUUUUGCCAUGCAUGUUUGCAUGAUGAGGGUAGGUCUUGUGCAUGCAUGUUUACAUGAUCAGAUGGCAUGUGUGCAUGUUCAGAGAAAUAUGUUAGUGGGCUAGUUAUUUAGAUAUAGAAGAUUAGGGGUGUUUUCAAUUAUCAAAUUAUGCAUGAUCAUCUUUGGUUGGUUUGUAGAUGUGUAAAAAUCAAUGGAUGCCUUCUUUAUCUUGUUCCAGGUUUUGGGUGGAUGCAUCCCUGAAGUGAGCAUCGUGAAGGUGAUGUGGAAGCCAGAACAACAUGUGAAUUUUGCCGGAUCGGGAGAGUAUAGUCUUGACCAUUAUAUAUAUAUUGGCUUGGGGCUAUUACUUUUUGCUUUUGUAAUGUUGUGGAAGAUUAUUUAAUUACGUGCAUUAUACUCCUGGAACAGGAUCACAGUUGACUCGGUCAAAACUAGAGCCGCAUUUUGUGCCUUCAUCGAAGAUAUCCCAUAUACCCCACAACAUCUUGUUGUCCAGAAUUGUGAUGCCUUUCCUUAGAUCUUUAGGAAGUUGUAAAAGUUAUCUCACCAAAGACUCUGCUUUGUUGAUGAAAGGAAACAUUUUCCACUGCUUUUUGAGCCAUCUACGAUGAUGGUUUAUGUAUUAUUUGCGAAGAAUAUGUAAUAAGUUUUCGGGUAGGUGGUUGAAUUGAAGCAUUUUUUUAAAAUUUGUUCAAUCUUUUACUACAAAAUAAUGUAUGGAAAUUCUUAAAACACCGGGUGGAUGAGUUGCACUACUUGGUUUAGGUUUGGCUCAACUUUUACUUUGUGAAACAUCCUUUGUGUAUUUGUAAAAGGUAAUUCCUGAAUUUUUUUUACAUUUGGCCGUGCAUUGCAAAGUUUGAAUACUAGCUUAAAUUAAAUUUAUGCUUAUUUAUAUUACAAAACUAGCUUAAUUUUGAAUUGUGUGCAAUCUUUCGGUGCAAAAUGAAAACAAUGAUGCAUAUUCUUCCCUCUUCUCAAGAUAUUUCGUCCAUGACAUCUCUCUCACUCUCUCUCUGUGCAGAAAUACUCUCAAGCUCCUUGCUAGGACCGUACCAAGCGCUUUCGAUGGGAUUGGAUCCGUGCGAAUUUUGUUCGAGGUAAUACUGCUGGUCAAAGAAAUUUUACCAAGACAUCAGAACCUAAUAAAAAGAUAUGUGCAUGUGGCUCUUCUCCCAGCCCGUCGUUGCUCCAAACCAGGUAUAUGCGAUUAUAUUUGGACCUCUUUUUUGUUGAAAUGCAAUUAUAUUUGGACUUAACUCCACAAAAGUUAUAUCUCAUACCGAACAUGACUAUUUCACAUUCUACUUAUGUAUUGUUAUCUCACAGUUGUGCGAUCAAAUCUUCUCUUCCAUUUGUGAUUCGACCAACAACCUUAGAACUUGGCAUCAACUUAGAAGUGAGGAAGAGUAAUUUUUUUGGAAAUGGACAAACCCUUUUUUGAUAGUUUGGUAAACAACGCUAUACUUUCUAAAAACCACAUCUAUACUGACAACACGCAUGCAUCAUGAGCAUUAUUCAUUCAAUGUAGCGGUUAGUAGUGCCAUAUUUUAUUUGUUUUAAUUUAACAAAUGUCAUAGGGAUAAGCUCAUGGUUAAACUGUGUAUUGCAUCAUUAUAGUAUUUGUUAGAUAAAUGUACUAACCCUCUAUUCCGCUAUAAAUUUGAUUUUGUUGGAUCAGGACAUCAACGAAAGGUGUGAGUGUUCAAAAUGGUGGAAGAUGAAAAACAACCAGACGACUACAACUCCAAAAAGCACUAUUGACAUGGAGAGACCUCGGCAACAACAAUACAAGUCUUAUUUCAUGGUGAUUGUAAACAACCUACCUCGCAGGGUGGAUAACUCUCAGCUGCCUCGGUUCUUCGGCCAGCACGGUAAGGUGUUCCAAUUAGCUAAGGUGAGAUGUAAGAAGGAGACCAAUAUCUCAAGGGGAUUCGGGCGUGUGACCAUGGAGAUGGCCGAGGAACAUGCUAAUGCUCUUGCUACACUUGAUGGACUGGUGAGUACAUACAUAUUAUGGCUUAACCAGAUGAUACCUCGCGUGUUCCUGUCAGACUCAGUUGUAGCAUACUUUCAUGAUAUUUGAUUAUUUUGAAUAAUAUGAGAACUAAAACUAAAAACAUAUACAAUUUUCUUUAUUUAAUUAUUGACGAGGUGGGCCUUUUCCUAUGCAUGUUUGCAUGACCAUGUGGGUCUUCUUGCAUGCAUGGAUAUCUUGUUGAGGUGAUGGGCCUUUUCCCAUGCAUGUUUGCAUGAUGAGGGUAGGUCUUGUGCAUGCAUGUUUACAUGAUGAGCUGGCAUGGGGGCAUGUUCACAUAAAUAUGUUAGUGGGCUAGUUAUUUAGAUAUAGAAGAUUAAGGGUGUUUUCAAUUAUCAAAUUAUGCAUGACCAUCUUUGAUUGGUUUAUAGAUGUGUAGCAAUCAAUGGAUGCCUUCUUUCUCAUGUUUCAGGUUUUGGGUGGAUGCAUCCUUGAAGUGAGCAUUGUGAAGGUGAUGUGGAAGUCAGAACAACACAUGAAUUUUGUCGGAUCGAGAGAGUAUAGUCCUGACCAUGAUAUAUAUUUUGGUUUGGCACUAUUACUUUUUGCUUUAGGGUUGUUGUGGGUUAUUAUUAAAUUAAGUGAAUUGUACUCCUGGAAUAGUAUCACAGAUGACUCGGUCAAAACCGGAGCCACAUUUUAUGCCUUCAUCUAUGAUAUCCCAUAUCCCCCACCCCAUCUCUUCGUUCAUAAUUGUGAUGCCUUUCCUUAGAUCUUUAUUAGGAAGUUGUAUGAUUUAUCUCACCAAAGACUUUGCUUUGUAGAUGAAAGGAAAAAAAUUCCACUUCUUUUUGAGCCAUCUACGAUGAUGGUUUAUGUAUUAUCAGCGAAGAAUAUAUAAUAAGUUUUUGGAUAGGUGGUUAAAUUGAAUUGGUGCACCUUUUUAAAUUUGUUCAGUCCUUUGCUACAAGAUAAUGUAUGGAAAUUCUUACAACAUUGGAUAUAUGAAUUUCACUACUUGGUUUUAGUUUGGCUCAUCUUUUAGUUUGUAUUUGGUAAUAUCCUUUGUGUAUUUGUAAAAGGUAAUUUCUGAUUAUUAAUUUUACAUUUUACAGUUUACUUCAAAGUUUGAAUACUAGCUUAAAAUAAAUGUGUGCUUAUUUAUAAUAGAAAAAUGGCUUAAUUUUUGAAUUGUGUGCAAUCUUUUGGUGCAAAAUGAAAAUAUUGAUACAUAUUCUUCCCUCUUCUCAAGAUGUUUCGUCCAUGACCUCUCUCUCUCUCUCUCACUCCCAAGCUCCUUGGUAGGACCGAACCAAGCGCUUCUGAUUGGAUUGGAGCCGUGGGAAUUUUAUUUUAGCUAGUACUACAUGUCAAAGAAANNNNNNNNNNNNNNNNNNNNNNNNNNNNNNNNNNNNNNNNNNNNNNNNNNNNNNNNNNNNNNNNNNNNNNNNNNNNNNNNNNNNNNNNNNNNNNNNNNNNNNNNNNNNNNNNNNNNNNNNNNNNNNNNNNNNNNNNNNNNNNNNNNNNNNNNNNNNNNNNNNNNNNNNNNNNNNNNNNNNNNNNNNNNNNNNNNNNNNNNNNNNNNNNNNNNNNNNNNNNNNNNNNNNNNNNNNNNNNNNNNNNNNNNNNNNNNNNNNNNNNNNNNNNNNNNNNNNNNNNNNNNNNNNNNGUCAUGUAGUACUAGAGCAAUGAUAUAGAAAAGGGGAUGGGACAUUAGUUAUGGAGGCAGGGUGCCGGCUACUGUUGUAGCAUGACGCUUGAAACCUAAUUAGUUGAGCUUUUUGUAUGGUACCUUAUACCGCGGUCAUUUCGCACGGUUAGGCUCCUACCAGUAGAUCUCACACCACCCAUAUUUUCUGAGAUGUGUGUUAGCUAUGGCCCAUCUAGAUGUAUAACAGUAGUAUAAUUGUUGUAUAUUUUUUUUCAUCAAAUCAGUGUCAGUUUGAUGGGUCCAAAGUACUUACUUUUGCCACAAAAGAUGUGCAUGCAUGUACCUUUGUUCUCUCUCCAUCCCAAACAAAUCCCUUGACUUUACUUCAUCUUAGACAAUCGCUCAUAUUUUUAAAACUAUAAACUCAUUUUUUGAAACUUUUUAUAUAUUUGGACUCUUGGCAUCAAGCCCUUUAGAACUAGACCAAUUUUGGAUACAUUUCUAACAUGUUUGAAUUUUGACAUUUCACAUUCCAUACGUCAAAAAAACACAUCUCACUAAAAAUAUGAAACAACCCAAUUUCACUAGAAAUAUGUGAAAACAACUUGUUUCACCGAAACAUAUAUACUUAACCAAAAUAUGAAACUGAAAUGUAAAUUUGUGAAACUAAUUAUUUGAAAAUGGGUAACCGUUUUCUUAAGAGUGAAAUAUGUUAUUUAAAAAAAUAUGCAAAUGAAACAGAUGUGAUUUUUGUGAAACAAGCCAGUGAAAUGUGAAAUGUACCUUCUGAAAGUGAAAAAAUGCAUUUUCUGGGCCAAAUCAGUAUCAGUUUGAUGGGCCCAAAGUACUUCCUUUUGCCAAGAAAGAUGGGCAUGGAACUCUCUUCUCUCUCUCAAUGCCAAACAAGUCCAUUGACUUUAUUUCAACUUAGACAACUUAAAUCACUCAUAUCUUUUAAACAAUAAACUCGUUUUGAAACGUUUUAUAUAUUUGGACUCCUAGUGUCAAGCCCUUUAGAACUAGACUAAUUUUGGAUACAUUUCGAACAUGCUUGAAUUUUGACGUUUCACAUUUAAUACGUGAAAACACAUAUUUCGCUACAAAAAUAUGGAACAAACCAAUUUCACUAGAAAUAUGUGGAAACAACCUGUUUCACCGAAACGUACUUAACCCAAAUAUGAAAAUGAAAUGUCAAGUUGUGAAACUGAUUAUUUGGAAAUGUGUAACAGUUUAUUUCAAAAUAGUGAAAUAUGUUAUUUUAUAAAUAUGUAAAUGUAGUAGAUGUGAUUUUUGUGAAACAAGACAGUGAAUGUGAAAUGUACCUCCUGAAAGUGGAAAAAAUGUUAAACUGAAAUGUCAACUUGUGAAAUUUAAAUGUUUGAAAUGUGUAAUAGUUUAUUUAAAAGGAGUGAAAUGUGUUAUUUCAAUAAUGUGAAACUGAAAUUAGUGAUUUUCUGUAAAACAAGCCAGUGAAAAGUGAAAUGUAACUUCUGAAAGUGAAAGACAAUAUGAACUGAAAUGGCAACUUGUGAGACCGAUCAUUUUCAAAUGUGAACGGUUUAUUUUAAAAUAGUGAAAUAUGUUCGUUCAAAAUUUUGCAAUUGAAGUAGAUAUGAUUUAUCUCAUAUAAGCCAGUGAAAAGUAAAAUGUAAGUUCUGAAUGUGAAAAACAACAUAAAACCGAAAUAAGAACUUUUGAAACUGAUUCAAGUCAUUUUAUUCAUAAGAUUUCAAGCGAGUGAAAUAUGCUAAAUGUGUUUCUUAAAUUUUAAAAUCACUUGAAAUGUAUCCGAAAUCGGUCUUGUUUUAAAGGUCUUUGUGGCAGGAGUUCAAAUAUAUAAAAAGUUUUAAAAUCGGAAGUUUGGUUAAGAGAUAUGAGUGAUUUUAAGUUAGCAAAGGUGAAAUAAAUGGAUGAAUUAGUUUGGGAGAGGGAAGAGAAAGAAUGGGAAGCACAUGCAUACAAGACACAGUGUCAUCUGAUCAAACGCUAACAUUUGACGGGACCCAUGUACCAUGUUUGUAGGCUGUAUAGCUAUAUAUUUCCCAAACAGAAUACUUCACUUUUUAUACUAUACAAUGUUGCAUGAUCUUCAGACUACAACGAUCGGCUCCAGAUCUACCGGUACAUGCGAGAACCGCUCAAUUUUCCAUUUCGUACCUUAUACUACUAUAGAGUGGAGGGAGCGGUACACUAAUCGUUGAUUUCCUGAGGUUAGUAUAGUCUCGUUAUAAACGUAACAACAUUUCCUGAUCGCCGUUGCUACUGCCGUCGUACCACGCGGUUGGUUAUCCCUAUUCGCCACCCUCAGAACAACUCCCUGGUUACCGGCUCCAUGAUUCCCUAGUCAAACGCGUGGUCGUCUCUGACCCUGGUCCUCCAGUCACGGGCAAUCUUUUCGAAAAUCGUUUUAGAAGUGGGGAAGAGGAAAGCGAGAGGCAUAUGGUGAAUAAUGUAAUGCAAGAGAUGAGAGUUUUAUGAUGGGUACUUGGUAUGUCUUGACUUGGCGUAGAUCUUCCCAGCAACGGCGCCAGAAAUUCUUCCUGGUACUUCUUGAGCUUACGUUGGUUUUUCCCUUGAAGAGGAAAGGGUGAUGUAGCAAAGUAGAGAUAAGUAUUUCCCUCAGUUAGAGAACCAAGGUAUCAAUCCAGUAGGAGAAAACACACAAGCCACCAAUACCUGCACAAACAAUCAAACAACUUGCACCCAAUGUGGUAAAGGAGUUGUCAAUCCCUUCACAGUUACAUGCAAAAGUGAGAUCUGAUAGAGAUAUAUAAACAAAAGUAAAAUAAUUUUGGGUUUUUUGGUUUAUAGAUCUGAAAGUAAAAGACUGCAAAAUAGUAGAUCGAAAACUAAUAUGAUGGAAAAUAGACCCGGGGGCCAUAAGUUUCACUAGAGGCUUCUCUCAUGAAGGCAAAUAAUAUUGUGGGUGAACAAACUACUAUCGAGCAAUUGAUUGAAAAGCGCAAAGUUCUGAUGAUAUCCAAGGCAAUGAUUAUGAAAUAUAGGCAUCACGUCCGUGUCAAGUAGACCGACUCCUGCCUGCAUCGUACUACUAUUACUCCACACAUCAACCGACUCCUGCCUGCAUCUAGAUUAUUAAGUUCAUGAAGAACAUGAUAACGCUUUAAGCAAGAUGGCAUGAUGUAGAGGAAUAAACUCAAGCAAUAUGAUGUAAACCCCAUCUUUUUAUCCUUGAUGGCAACAAUACAAUACAUGCCUUGUUGUCCCUACUGUCACUGGGAAAGGAAACCGCAAGAUUGAACCAAAGCUAAGCACUUGUCCCAUUGCAAGAAAAACCAAUCUAGUUAGUCAAACUAAACCGAUAGUUCAAACAGAAUUAUAAAGAUAUCAAAUCAUGCAUAUAAGAAUUCAGAUAAGAUUCAAAUAAUAUUUAUAGACAAACAGAUCAUAAAUGCACAAUUCAUCGUUUCUUGACAAACACACCGCAAAAGAAGAUUGCAUCCGAUAGAUCUCCAAGGACAUUGAGGAGAACAUGGUAUUGAAAACCAAAGAGAGAGAAGAAGCCAUCUAGCUACUAGCUAUGGACCCGUAGGUCUGUGGUAAACUACUCACGCUUCGUAGGAAGGGCAAUGGAGUUGAUGUAGAAGCCCUCCGUGAUUGAAUCCCCCUCCGGCAGGAUGCCGGAAAAGGCCCCUAGAUGGGUUCUCACAGGAACAGAAGGUUGCGGCGGUGGAAAAGUGUUUUCGUGGAUGCCUCUGGUGGUUUGGGAAUAUUUGUGAAUACAUAGAACAAAGAAUUAGGUCAGGGGGUGUUGGGGUAGGCCACAAGGCUGGGGGCGCACCCACCCCCCUAGCUAGGGCGAGCCCCUGUGCCUUAUGGUAAUAGUUAAUUCUUAUGUCCAUAUUUUGUUUCCAGUGGUUAAUACUUGCCACCAGAAAUUUGAACAUUCGUGUGCAGGUGAACAGAUGCCUCACUUGAAGUCACUAUAGGCCAACCAAGUGAACCAAAAUCAAUUAAAUAUUGUUAGAGGCAAACCAAAUUACCGAGGUGAGGAAUCUGCACGUAGAGAUAAAUAUAUGUAUAGUUAUGCAGUUCCGACACUAAUGUAAAUAUCAAUAUUCUAUUGGUUCCCCAACAUCAACUUUUGAAUAUGAAUGUAUUUGUUCAACAUUUUAAGCCAUAUUUCCUGUUCAUUCAUCCGAUAUGUGAAUGUUUCCUGCUCAUGAAAGGCAGGAAGUCCCGCAUAAAUGCGCGGAGUAUAAUCUAUUUUUCAAAAGUGUUAGUAUAUUUAAAAAGAAUGCUCAUGCAUCUAGAACGUGUUUACCAAUGUAAUUAAUUUGAAAAGCUGUUCACAUGUUUUAGGAAACGUUCAAAUAAAUUUUAAAGAAAAAAACAUUUCAAGACAAUGUUCUUGUGUUUUAAAAUUUUAUAUAAUUCAAAAAAUCAUACAUUUUAAAAAUGUUUCACACUUCUUAAAAAAGUGUAUUUUUUUGAAAAGUCUUCAUGCAUUUGAGAAAAGGUUCACUCAUUAUUUUAAAAUGUUCACACUUUUUGGAAAACACAUCUAAAAAAGUGUUCAUGCAUUCAAAAAAAUUUCACGCGUUCUAGAUAUUUUUUAUGCACUUUUUAAAACUGUUCGUUACUUUUAUAAAAUGUUCAAAUUUUUAAAUUAUUUAAUUUCUAACAAGGGAAAAGAAAGGGAAAAAUGAAUAAGUAGAUGAAAAAUAAAAGGAGAACAAGAAAAAGUAAAAAAAAGAUAAAUAGAAGGAAAAAAACACAAGGAACACAAAAAAUGUGCAACGACAUACCCACAUUACCCCAGAGAAAACCAAACUAUCCAUGAAGAAUCAUGUAAAAUCGUACGCAUCAUCAGUACUUAGGCCACGAUGUAUGCCUCGUACGACUUGGACACUCUCUUGAUAUUAGCAUUGUAUAAGCAACAAAUAAUAUUUGCUCCCAUACCACAUCACUGCCACAAACCAAUAUGCAUCUAAAAAAAGAAGCUCAUGUUGACGAUCCCUCGAAAAAAGAAAAGAAAAAUAGGAGAGAUAGAUACACAAGCCUUAACCUACAUCGAUCCGACCACCCCACAAAGAAACUACGUCUAACCAAUCAACCUAAAAUCACCUUACGGAGUAGGUAACAAUAGCCAGGCGUGGCGGAGCACGCCAUCUCCUCUAGUCCCAUUGAACGCUGGCCUAAGUCCUUAUAACAUCAGUGCCACUGCUGCUUUUAGUUUUUUUGCCAUUGUCUAAAUAACGGAGCCAUGUUGAGGAAGCAACCCAUCAUUGAGCUCAUGAAGAAACCAAGUUCUGAAUAAGUCAGCAUGCCUUUCUCUAAUCUCUCGCCGUUUCACCAUCACAUAGAAAGACCUACAUGACAAUUGUGAUACCAUUAUAAGCACCUUAAAAUGUAGUACAAGACUGAAUCCAUCAAAGAUAGAUGUACAAGAGUGAAGAAUGUUGUGACUGCAGAUGUACGCGCGGGGACGAAUCUGAGCCGUUGCAUAAAGAUCUGACGGUAGUUCGAAAACUGACACUGAGGUGGAAAAUAGUCGACCGAUAAGUACACGCUCCAAGGACGAAGCAGCCCCCCGAACGGCCAAACCCCAGAUCGCAUCGCAGUCCAGCAGGAAUGGCCGCCGCCGCCGCCGACGCCGCGAAGCUCUCGGUCUCCAUUCAGGCCUUCGCGGCACUCCUCGACUGCUGUGCGGCCGCCGGCGGGGACUGCGACGGGAUACUCCUCAGCCGUGCUGCCCUCCCCCCUUCCUUCUCCGACGACGAUCCGGCCCCAACCCUACACAUCUACGUCACCGGCCACUCCUCGCUCGCCCGACCCUCCGCCCUCUCCAACGCACUUAGCUGCUUCAACCCCUACUUCCCCGCCCGCUCGGGCACGGCCACCGUCGGCUUCUUCUCCUCCCGCCACAGCGCGUGCACGACGCGCCGCCCCUCCAUGCGCGAGGCCGCCGUCGCCCGCUCCCUAUCCAAAUCUCUGGCCCUCGCCCACCCCGUCGUGUUUCUCCUCUUAGCCCACUCUGUCGCCUCCGACCUCUCCAUCCACUCGUUCGCCCACCGCGCCUUCCUCCUCGUUGAUUCCCGCCUCGUCCCCACCUCCCUCACGAUCGUCAACGUGGGUCCUCGUUACCGGGGCCAGUACCAGUGCCACACCUUCGCCCCGGAGUCGCCAAUGCCGCGGCUGCCGCCUCCGCCGGCAAACAUCGGAGAGCAAGCAACCGAGGAGGAGAUGUAUUCCGGGAUGCUAAGGAGGUUGGAUAGGCUUGCUCAGGAGGUGGAGGAGUGCAAUAAGCGUCUGUUCCGUCAGGUCCGAGUUCGCUCAAUGCUUUGCUUGAUCUGUUUCUGUAAAAUUCAUUUGUUUGGGUACGUGGAAAUAUGCAUCGCUUUGGUUGUGCAUCGGUUAUUAGACUCACAUGAAACAACAUUUGCAUGGCAAGCAAUAUCGUGCACAUAUUUUAGUCAGAAUCCAAGGAAUUUUGGCAUGUUAGUUGGCAAACUGGAUAUAACUUAUUAGGUCUGAUUGUCAAGACUUGACUCCCCCUUCAAAUGCUAAGGUAGAGUUUUCAUAUGAAAUAGUUACCAGAUAAAAAGGUUAAACCGGUCUCUGUUGGACGUGCUGAUUCGAACAGCAGGGGGCCCACUACUAAUAACAACUUCUUUCUGCGUGAUCUAUUUUUGCCUGUUUAAAUCAGACCUUAUUCAUUAGAGAAACCCCUUGCUUUUCUUGUUAACCUAUAAGUGCUCAUAAAUUGUGUGAACAAUGUAGCAUUUGUUUGUUCAAAAGAGAUUGCAUUGCUUGGAUAUGUAAUAUGCUUGCAUUGCAUAUACAUGGCCCGUGUGUGCAAUUCUGCAUGUACAGGACAUAGAGUGUCAGUUCAUCUUAUUGCAGCAUUUAUAGAUUUUGCUAUGUUUCCCUUAAUCUGCGCAUGCCAUCUCUCUUUCAACAAAAUUUGAAUUCUUGCUAGCAUCUGUCAGAAUCUCAUGAGGUCUGAGCUGCAAAAUGUGAAAAUUAGAUUGGGACCUCAUAAGUGAGUUGGAGAAGUAGCUAAUAUGUCAUUCCACAUACAUCCUUUUGGAAAGCUCAUUUCGAGAGCAUUUCGAUGUCUUUUGUCAUAAAUGUGACAAUUGGAACUAUCAAAAGUCAAAACAAAGUGGUAGUUUCCUUUUUCUGGAUGAUUAGUUGGUAACACUUUGAGUAGUUACAUGUACAAGCUAUGCUAUUUUGUUAGUUUAAGUGUUGACCUACAGCUAUAGGAAGUAUUGUGCAAUGUACAGUUGCAACUAAACUACUGAAGUGUUCAUUAAUCUUGUAUCCCCUCUGUCCGGGUUUAGUAGGCCCCCUCUAAUUUUUGGGUCAAAGUACCAUCGAUUUAACUAAUAAAGUGUAAACUAUAUUUCAUAAAAAAUUAUACCGUCAAAAACUCUUUCGAAUACAAAUCCNNNNNNNNNNNNNNNNNNNNNNNNNNNNNNNNNNNNNNNNNNNNNNNNNNNNNNNNNNNNNNNNNNNNNNNNNNNNNNNNNNNNNNNNNNNNNNNNNNNNNNNNNNNNNNNNNNNNNNNNNNNNNNNNNNNNNNNNNNNNNNNNNNNNNNNNNNNNNNNNNNNNNNNNNNNNNNNNNNNNNNNNNNNNNNNNNNNNNNNNNNNNNNNNNNNNNNNNNNNNNNNNNNNNNNNNNNNNNNNNNNNNNNNNNGAUGGAGGGAGUUCUUGAACCAAUUGCCAUUUUUAUUGCUAACUGAAAUGGUUACAUCCUUCAUAUAUUUGAUUUAAAGGUUGAUUUACAGAUUAGGAGUCAAUAUUCUACUUUAUAUUGCGUGCAUGUUGCUGGAUAAACUAUGUGUGGUUGGACCAUUGAUAAUGUUGGUCUAUGCUAGCGUAUAGGUUUAUUGGUUGAUAUGCGUGCACCUGUCUCUGUCUUGAACUUCAGUUUGUUUGAAUGUGAUAUCGAUAACCAUUAUCCAUGUAGUUUUGCAUUAAAGGGAGCAUCAUCCAAACAUGAACUAGAAUGAGACAUUUACAGAUUCAGGUUUUAACAUGUCUUCAGAUUUAACAGGAUGCAUUGUUGUAUGCUAUUCUUAUCAUUUUGUUGUUGCUAUCUCUACCAGUUCAUUCCUUCACCAUCAGUUUUGCAAGGAUUAUCUUUAGAUAUGUUAUUGAGAUCACUGGCCCCCUAGUCACUGGCGCCGUGCAGCAGGUCAUGGAGACGAUGCACGCACCCAUCUACUUUGAGACCUAGAACGUCCACGAUGACAUGCCCGCCGUGCUGCCCACCGUCAUCAACUCCAUCUGCCGCAACAACGUCUACCUCAAGAGUGGCCUUGCCACCCCCGUCGGCACAGGCGUCUCCGCCCUCAACAUGCAGCUCCGCAAGGAGCUCUCCCUCUUCACCUCCCUCGUACAGUGAUAAGAUCAGAAUCUUAUUCUCAGUCGGACAGAUCAAUCCAACAUUCAACUUCAUAGGUCUGUUUCUUUUUUCAGUUAAUCCCAAUUUGGACAACCACAAGUUGACAAUUUACAUAAUUCCGAUUUGCACCAUGCUUCAUUUUUAGGAUCUGCUCAUGUGCACCUUCAGUCUGAAUCAAAAGGUUGGAAAGAACUAUAGUCGGUGUCUAAAACCCUGGUCCCGCUCUCUACUUAUAUAGAGCUAUUGUAAGAGAGGGCAUGCAAGCAACUGAACCAAUGACCUCUAGGUCCAGCAGCAUGAAUAGGCUAAUCAGGAAUUUAAGAUGGAAAAAUAUUGGUCAUGGACUGGUUAUUAUUAACAAAAGAAAAAAUAAGAUAACACAAUAGUGUUCAUGGAUCAGGAUGGUUACUGGUGAACUUUAGUCUUAACUGUGCGAAUCAAUAUAUCAAAAGAAAUAGAAGGAAAUGAAUUUGUUGACUAGGACAAAGUUACUUCACAACUUGCAUUGCAGCAGCGAACAACAAACGGGAGAGUCAUUCAUCCAGUUUCCAAAUACAUACGAAUGUGGUUCAGGUGAACAUGCAGAUCAUUACAGGAAAUAAAUCAAAAGAAAUGUGAAAAUGUAGGUAAUCCCAAGCAUAGGUAACUUAUUCUUAAAUCCACGGAUUUGCCACCACAGGAGUGACUCACAAGUGACCACGAUCCACAACUAGUACAUGAAAGCAAACGAGUUGAAGUUACUACGGACUAAGUAUAAUCACAAUAGCAGACCCUUUUUAAAUAACACUGUUCAAAGCGCCACAAAGGCAUGGACUAGAACAUCAAACUUCCAGAAGAAAACCAAGCUGCGUACAUAGAAAAUCUGACCCAUAUUCAACACCUGACUCAUAUGAAGGUACCAACCGGUCGGGUGCAAACUCGGUAGGCAAUCACAGUGCUGCUUUUAGCAAACCAUCUGACAACUAUUCCGUGUAACUGGGGACAUAAGGAUCGCAUCGGAGAUUAAAAUCCCUCUCAAAAACUGAAGAUGACACAAGAUCUCUGGUUUUCCAUAUCGUAUGACACAAGCUUUUCAUUCCACGCAAAGACAUGGAAAAAAGAUCGAUUUGCAUUCCAUAUCGACUGCGAGAAAUGUACAAAUCUCAUUGUGGGCUAUCGUCUUUGAAUGGAUGCGAUGUGUUGAAUCUCCACAACGUGCCCUUUUUAUAUUGGUAUAUAUGAAUUAACUUUUGGUGAGUAACUAGAUUUGCAAGUUCAAAUAGAAGGGGAAAAUGGUUCAAUUUUAUUAGUUGCUUCGGAAAAAAUAGAACACACUACGCAGAUGUCAUGAAAAAUAUUGUAUCAUAAUAUUUCUUUUUCUAUUUGUCCAUCGACCAGAUCGGCUUUGCACGGAGCGCCCAACUCAAAAGUGAACAAUGUAUCCUGCAAAUGAUAUUAAAAAUCUCUUAAUUAACUAAUUUCCAUACACGGAGAUAGUAAGUAAGCAAAGAUAUGUGACAAUAUAAAGAUUUUUUUCUCAAACAAAACACAUAUAAAGUUAUAAACACAUCAAGUAUACGUUAAUAGCAACAGCAAAACAAACCUGCACAGUUAUCUCCUUCAUGCAAGGCGUUGCCGCACGAACGGGUGACGGCAGCCCACCUGCGUAGAUUGAUCUGAGCCAAAUCUGCAGCGGUAAACGCAUUGCAAAUUGCCAGGAGGUUUACUGAACGCGUCACUACUUGGCAGCAUGCGUGGCUUGGUUCGAAUGGCCAGUGCGCACCUUUCCUAAUAUUGAACUUACAGUGUUCCAUCACCUCAUCUUUUUCGAUGGCAGCUCGAGACU